ensembl:lncRNA
GCGCUCCCCGCGCUCGCCGCCCUGCAACUUGUGCGCUGGGAAGCGCUGCCAGGAAUAGCCCGGCCGAGCGGCUGCGGAGCGCGGCUCCCUCCCUCCCUCUCUCCCUCCCUCUCUCCUUCCCUCCCUCUCUCUGCCUUCCGCCCGCCCGCCCGCCGCCUCGCCGAUGCCGGUCUCUGCCGAGCGGAGGGAGAGCGAUGAUCUACCUUAAGAUAAAUACGUGAAACAGACGCCCCUUUGGCUGCUGGAAUACCGCUGUCUGUCUUUAUAUAAAGCAACGCCGCCGGCCACCUCACUCCGGCGCGGAGCGACGAGAGCGCCCGGCGGGAGCGGCGGCAGCGAAAGGGCACCGGGAGGGCUCUCCGCGGCCACUCGCCAGGGUUCUGUAAUUCCAUUGUUUGUUAUGUGGAGGUGAUGGAGAGUGAAAGCAUGGUCUGAGGAACUCAACCCAUGCCCUGAAGCCUGCAGUUGGUGUGCUGUUGCAACCAAUGGCGGAAAGGUAGGGUAUCUUUUUAACAUGCCUGAUGAAUAAUAAUUGAAUAUGUAGCAGUAAAUUUACUGUGUAAUCCCGAGUACCUGAGACUUUGCCAGCUGGAAGGAAAGGGAUGCAUACUUUAAUUGGCCUCUCUAACCAUAACAGUGCACCCCUUACUACUUCUUUGAUCUGGGUCUCUCCUGACUGCCUCUUUGCCUGAGUGACUGGCAAACUUAUAUGUGAUUUGCUGUAAGGCACACAACUGUGAACAAGCACCUGGUGUGUAGUAGCAGCUCCUGUUUUUAAUCAGCCUUUGGAGUAGUAGGCAUAUGAGGAUGUCUGGUCCUGCGUUCCGUAAACUACGCCUGGGUCAAGAUAGUAGACUUCGUAGUAAAAGAGCAGGAGGAAGCAUCAGCAGAGGGACAGUCUAUGGGGGAGUUAGGUAAAUUCAGUAUUCAAUGUCUGUAGCUCUGGAGAGGAAUCAUACCUCCCUGUGAAAGGGAUGUAGCAAAACCCCAUAACCUCAGGUAACUGACACUUGUUCUCAGCGCCAGCGUCUGCCUUGCUGAGGCAUCAUCAGGCUCCAGCCCUAGGCUCCCACAGUGCGAGCUGCCCUCCCAUAAUGUGGUGGGAGGGCUGGUAAGGUCCCACACAGCACCUCGUGGGCUGCCUCCUUCUUGCAAUGGCUAGUAUGGCUUUUCACAGCCCCUAAAACUUCUCAGUACAGCUUUUGGCUCCUCUACAAGGGCUUUUCAUAGCUGUAGCUCCUGUGGCUUGCUGCAGCAUGGGGUUUUUUUUUUGUUUGUUUUGUUUUUGUUUUUGGAACAGAUGGUGUCUUACGUAGAAAGUUACUGUAUUUUUGUAUGACUGGGUUUUAUUUAUUUAUUUCCUUGUCUCUCCCUUUUAUUUUUUGAAGUAGGCUUAAUUUUGACAACAGUGCUGGAUUUAUCUUUGGUAUAUUAAUGUUUGUGUUUGUGUACGCGUGCAGUAUUUUGCAGCGCAGUGGUUGUGCUCUCGAGUGUUAAUGGGCACAUUUUUGUCAAAAGUGCAAUUAAUUUGAAAUUUGAAGGGAAAACAGCUUGUGAAGGAAGAUCUUUGAGAAGAAAAGUAAAUGUCGUCUUAAAUGAGCACUGUACUCACUGGAGUAAGGUUUUGUUUUUAAGUCAGUAGAUGGGUUUUCUGUAUCUAAUCUUUGUGUUGUGUUUUUUAAUUGAUAUCAUCUGGUCAAUUUGAGGGAAAAUGCUAUUCCCAUAAGGAAAAUAUUUAUUCUAAAUAUUAUUGUUGCCUAGGAUCUUGUUGAAUUCAUGAGAUACAGCAGCAGUCGAGUUGAUUUAAUAUUUUUAACAUUUUUAUAGUGUUUUCUCAUUGUUUCCAUGAAAGCAAUUUCAAUAAAUAUUUUUGCAAUUGCUUUUGGUUUCUUGAAAUUAGGUUACCUAUUGUUGAAAACUGCAGGUUCUCAAGCAUGGGUUUCAGAUCUGGUUUGUCAUGAUUAGACGUUUGAAAUAAAAUAUAAAUACUUGAGCAAGCCUCAAAAUGAUCACUUGUCUUUUCCCUGCUUAGCUUCCAAAACGCCGUUUGUUCUGUCUAGUGAGUCUCCUUAAUUUGAUCCUUAUUUGUAAAGAUAGCUACAGUCACAGGGGUUUGGUUCCAUUCAGCCAAAUCACUUCCUUUUAUUCAUUUGUGUGUAUGUGUGUAUAUGUACGUGUGUGUGUGUGUGUGUGUACAUGGAAAACACAUAUACACACCAUCUGCCUGUAGACAGUAAUGCAUACCUUAAGUGAACAGGAUCAUCCCAUUUGAAAGACAAGGUUUAUGUUUUCAUCCUAAACCCAAGCCUUAUCUCACAGCAGCAUUGUUUUUCUUUGCAAUGCAUUUUUUUUUUUCCAGUAACUUGUGAACAUGUGGCCUUCUAUAUGGAAGUGUUCUGAGGUACAUGGGAAGAGAGACCGGAGGACAUUUGAGUGCUUCCUCAUGGCCCUGACUUUACACAUGGUUGGAUUGUGUCCUUUCACAGGGGCAGUCAUUCGUGGCCCCACAUCUAGACUGAGUUCCAAACAUGGUGAUAAAAAGCUCCACGCUUCUGUGUUCUCUAUCACACGUGUUUUAAGGUAAACGAUUCCCUGCUGAUGUUGGGCAGUUUGGAUCUUGUCAUCUUCAUUUGCCUUGUUUUCCUCAUAAAAGCAGCACAAGUUAUUUGAAUGAUCUGUUUAUAGGAUUGCUUGAGAGAAUUCCCUUAAUAAUGAGACAGUUCAACAAAAAAUCUCAAGAUAAUGGCUUUUCCAUUUGCACCUCUCAGACAUUGUUUCAAGUGGAAGCAAAAGGAUUAUUAAAACCCUUGUAAGUAGUUUAAAUUCCCUAGUGAUACACCACAGUGGUUUUGUUCUAAGUAUUUCACAGAUGGGUUGUAAAGGGUAAAAAUAUAAUUGAAUUUGUGUGGAUAUGUAAAGAUGUUAAAUAUUUUGUAGGUAGCCAACUUGAAGAGUUUUUUUCCAUAUAUAUUUGUAUUUACCACGACCGAUUUCUGUUGUGGAGUGAAAAAGCACACAUUUUCAUCAGUGUAAAAGGGCACCAACAGUGACACCAGUUCAGUUUGCAUGCGUCCGUUUGCUUUACGUUUUGAAGUUUUAAAUAAAAAACCACAAUAGAUACAGCUCUUCUAAGAAUAUUUUGUAUCAUCUAGAUGAGGUGGAACUUUCUCAUGUCAAACCAUGGUAAAGACGGUAUAUACCCUUCCUCAACUAAUGGAGCAGGAAGAUGUGAUUAGCUGAAGACUGGCUUUUGGCGUGUGGAUGAGCGUAUAAAAAUGCUGCUGUUGCUUUCUGUAUUCCUUUGUUUAACAGACAAUAUAUGGCAUAUAUAGGUGUUCACAUAUGUAUAAUAAUGCCACACUGACAAACUUCAGGAUUAAGUCUCUAGUUAAUGUCAGAACAAGCAGCAGUAGGAGUUUCCUUACGCUAUCUGGGCAAUGAAUCUUCAAGAUUCCACAGUCAAGCUGUCUCUGAACAACUUGACUCUGAUGCAGAGGAUAGAAAAUAAAGCAGUUCGUAUCCAUGUAAAAGGGCAUGUUUUUAAAAGCAUUUCCAAAAUGUUUAGUUGAAAAGUUCGAUUGUAAAAAUGUUAUCUUUGACCUUAUUUUAGUAAAAUGAGCAGCUAGUAAUCCAGUGGUGUUGUAUGUGUCCAGCAACAGAUGUGAUUUAAUGUAACUCUGAGAUACAGGCUGGUGGUUCCCUAGUUUCAACUUCAGUACUCUGUUUUACUGAGGCUGAAAGGCUAGCUUCAGUUGCUGGUGUGGCCAUAGGGUUGUUACUGCACGAACAGCAAAAAACCUCUUCAGCUAGGGAUGGUAGUAUGAGGUGAGGAUCGGGAUGAGUGUUUUCUGAACUCCAUAUGAUGUUUUCUAUUGAGGUACAUUGAAUUAUGUGCCGCUGUUUGAAAAUUAGCUUCUGUCAACUGGAGCACUGCUGCCCAGUUGGUCUCAGCAUGCAGAGGGAAGGUCUGAUGUCCCAGCACCCAGAGGAUGCUGUUGGGACAUUCUCACUGUGAGUGAAUGGUUUUAUCACUAUAUUUUGAUGUGCUGUUGAGACACUAAGGAAAAUGGUUCUAGAGUCUGUGCUGCUGGUAGGAGAGUGCUGUGGGUGAAUCCAUUGCCCUGUUCGAAGUGAGAAACAGCUGCAGCCACACUGCUUCCCAUGGCUGCUCUGAAUGGCUGUCCAGCAGUGGACACAGAGACCUCCCAGUACUCUCAUAUGAAUCCCUAAUGAAGCUUUCCAUCAAAAAGGCUUUGCAGUGUUUUUUUUUAAGAGGGUGAUAGCGGUGGGUAGGGCUGAAAGCUGGUGUCUCCCUCUACCUACCUGAUAAGGUUGCUAAUGAUUUAGUUAGGGUCAGAGGAGGAGUUACCGAAUGCUCAGUGGCCAUGUGCUAUGGCACAGCUUCUGCGCCUCCACAGUCUUCCAUAUACUGUGCUCUUAUUUGCUUCAGAAAAGCAGGAGGGAAAUUAAAUAGAAGCAUCUGCAUUCACUUUGCUGGGUUGUCAGCCAUCUCCAACAAGGGGAUCCUGUAGUUUCACACUCCAGUUUUUCCCUAAAUGCAUACAGAAAACAUGUUUUACUCCGUGGGAUCCAGAAGUGUGUAAGGCUUCAUUUCCUGAUGCUAGCAGAAGUAUGGGCUGCAGCGAGAGCCGAGUGCAUCCCCACACUGCAGUAAUAUUCCUUACACAAGCUGAACAAGAAAAACCAGAGCAGCACGGCUCCUGAGCAAAUAUUGUUUCUAGUCACAUAGGAUGCUUUGCAGCUGAGCCUGGUAACACGCUGCUCAUCUGUUUUGCUGUGCAAGCGCAGAGAAGCCGCUGCUGGUUCCUCCAAAAUCUCCCUCCUUGCCGCACGUUGGAAACGUCUGAACUUUGGCCCUCAAUCUGCUGACACCCUGAGGGAGUGUGAGUGUAAUGACGUCUUUGCUUGUUUCAGCUGCACAACAGGAAACACUCAUGGCCUCCCCGUCUUCCUGCACUGAGCAGCGCUGCCUUUUCUCCCUCCCUUCCCCUGUGGUGCGGCAGGCUCAGACCCACUUCCAGGUUGCACAGCUGUGUGCUGUGCCCGCCCUGUGCUGGGGCUGCCAGCUGCUCGCUGUCACUUCUGCGCUGGUGCCAGGUGUGGGGCAGCUUAUGUAGUGAUUUUCCCCUGGAGAAGAGAAUCCAGUUGUGUUGCAAUGGCUCGCUGCACAGAGCUUGUCACUGGAUGUGCCUCGGCUGGAAGGAGCAGGAUGGUCAGGCGAUGAGUUGCCGUGGGGAGGCACAUCACUUGCAUAAUAUAGAGGACACGCUCCCAGGUGGGCAUGCAGGGAUCCUGGAAUGUGGCCCCGAUAUUGCUGAGUAAUGCUGAGCGUGAACGGCUGAAGAGACUGCUGUGCCCUGGUGGAGCAGGGAGGCUCUCUUCUUGCAGAGCAUCGGCAGGAAGCCUGCUUAACCCUCUUUAGCUGUGGCUUUAUGCUUGUAACCAAAACAGGGAUAUGAGUAAGAAGGGUUGUUGAGAAACACGAGCCUUUUGCAGCUGGCUGAGGGCAGAGCAUUUUGUCUCAUCAAAGGCAGCCCCCAAAAAAUUAAAGCACUGCAGAGUUCGUACAAGAGAAUUAAUUGGUUCAAUAUUCAGCUGUUAUCCUCUAAUGAAUGGGGUGCCGGGGGGUCACUUGUAAAAACGAAGUACAUAUGCACCAGUGAAUUUGCAUAUUGUGGUGUGAGACGAGAUGUUGAUUAGUCUAAAAUACAGCGUCCUGCAUUUGCAAGAUUGAAUUAACUUCGAAUGUAUCCAGUUCUGGUGCGGUUGCUUAUUUAUUUGGUUAAUGUUGCAGAGGCAUAUUAUUAGAGAGCGGCUUCAGUCUGCACUCUGUAAUAAGCAAGUUCUGAAUUUACCUCAUUAAUCUAUCGUGCUACCUAGCAAAAUAACAGUUGUUUUUAACAAGCUGGAGUUAUGUAACAUGAAUCAUGCAUGGCAAGAUGCUUGCAAGCAGGGGAAAGCAAGAUGUGCUAAGGAAUAACAGUAUUCAGCCUUCUGCAAGAUAGGAUAUGACUGGCUUUGGAAAUUAAACGCUGUGUGUUGUUAUUCUCGGCCUUACAGACAAGUUCCAGCUAUUCAUUAUGAGAAUGCGUCUUGAAACAAAGUCUUGAGAUGGGAAUGUUUAACAGACAGAAGGGUGAAUUUGCCCAGCCGUGUGCAGUCCUUGGAGGAUUUUGUAUCCUUGCCUGCCAAAUUCUGCCCCCCUCCCUGUUGUUUUUCUUCUGGAAAAGCAGCGUAGAAUAAUGUGAGAAGUCUCAUAAAUUAGACUGAUUUCAUAUGUAAAAAAAAAAAAAUAAUAACUUGAUGAGCUGUGAUAGCCCCUAUGAAUUGUUAUAUAAAUCUCCUUUCUUCUUUUAAAUAUGCCCCUAUAGGGUCAUUAGGCAUGUAUACUCUACAGUAGUCCUCUGUCUCAAGAGAUUUUACAACCAGUUUAUGGAAAAGGGGAAGCAAGUGGUUCUAUGAAUGCAUUAGAAUCAAAGCAAUUGAUUUUAAGUCAAAUCUCUCUUUCAUAAUUUUUCCUUGACAAUUUUCUCUACUGUUACUCAGUUUUGAUCUUAAAAGCUGUACCGAGAUGUUAAGCCUGGGAUAACCUUUUCCUUUGGUGACACGGAUACAAAAAUCACGUAACCAUAUUGGGAAAUAAAGCACUGAGAAUAAUAGCCUUUAGGAAGGGAAUGGCAAAGAUGGUGGUUUGGAAAAGGAAUGAUUUAAUGUUCGUGAAUUUCUUUUCAAAUCGUCCUUCUCACGUUAAGCAAAUCUUUCUGUAUUUUUUCAUACAUGGAUAAAAUUAAAGUGUAGAGAAGGACUGCUAACCGCUGUACUUUGAGAUUUUACUAAUAUUAGUAACAAAUAAGCAAAAAAAAAAAAAGUGCUGAUAUUUAUGGUUUUCAUUUCUCUGUUACCAUACAUGCUUACACACACAGUGGCUGAUUAAGUGUCAGGGCAGAUAGCAGCAGAGAUGUUAGAAGAAGAAACAGUUACGUCUCCAAGUUGCUCCUGUAACUAGCGCCAUUGCUAGCACUCUGAACUUGGCGAACAAGGGCUGAACAAGCCUGGAUUUUCUCAACAUGGAUUUUCUCUACAUAGAUUUUCUCACACAGAAGGUCACUCAGGUCACAGACAAAGAUGUUGAAAAAGCAUUAUAAAGAAGGCGGUUGUGUUGCUCUCAUUAUGUCCUUGUUUUCUAAACAAAUGCAGCACAGCACCCCUCAGAAAAACUUGCCUUUUAGGAAAACUGAAGAGAAGUUUCAGUCUUAGAAUAACUUUAAUUUAUCUUAUUGGAUUGACUUAGUUUUGUAUAGCUGUGCAUUAUUAGGAGAACAGUAGAGCCAAGUGUAGAAGUAGUGCUACAGAAGGACACCAACAUCUGGUGGGUGGAGAAGGACCCUCUCCUGAAUUUGCAUGAUUGUUAACUAAAUAUAAAGUUCAUCAAAUGAUUUCUAGUUGUUUUGACUCCAGUACUCUUUCCUUUUUACUCCAUAAUACUUUUUUGGCUAGUAGUAAUGUCCUUUCUGAAAAUCUAUGAUUUCCUCAAUGCAGGUGAAUAUUAUGUAGAGGCAUCAAAUUAAAUUAUUGGCAUUUUUUUUUUUUCACACUAUCAAUAGUAGCAAGGUCGCCAUUCUAUGAUGUGACUAAUUAGGAAGAUUGAAGUGUCUUUUGUGGGAUCUUCCCUUGCUCUUUGGUGGGACGUGAGGGCUGCUCAAUGGCCAUGGUGUGAGGCGUGGGCAGCACAGGAGGGGCUGCCCUUGGUUUCUACUGGAAUUUCUGUUGAGAUCAGGGCAACGUGAAUGAGCAAAGCAGGGCAAACAGGUGGCUGCUGUGUGAAAGAAAAUACCAUGAGUAACACUGCUGUGUAUGAGUGUGGUGGGGUGUCGGUGUGCACACAGAGAUUGGCUUGUCGAGGAGCAGCUCUCACAUCCUGGGGUCCUUGAAAUGAUCGUCAGAGGUUAAUAGUCUUGGUCAGAAUGCUCUGCAGAAAGAUUUCUUGCCCUGGGAAUUGUUGUGCGCAGUUGUCUCAUUUUCCUUUCCUCUCUUGAAAGCCAAUGUUAUCUUGUCCAUUCAACCCCGUAAAGUAUCCCCAGGUUAUCAAGUUCUUCUCAUAUUGCAGCAAAACUUGAAAUAAUUACCAAUUCAGCUUCACUAUUUCUGUCAGCUUAAAAAAAAAAAAAAAAAGAAAAGAAAUUUAAUUUACACUAAUUACUCAGAACUUGAGAUGCUCAGCAUGAAAGUGGCUAGGUGCAAAAUAGGAUUAAAUAUGUAAAGGAGAAAAAAGCAUUGUGUGUUGCAUUUUUCCUAUUUAAUGCUCUGUUUGUAUGUCAUUACCAAGCCAUCUGCAAGCAGAAUUCUCCUAGCAGACUGAAGCAGCUCUUCAAGAAAAAAAUUAAAAAUAAGAACAGUCAGGCUGAUAAUUUAAAAACAAAGAUUUGGUGUGAACAGAUUAAGAUGGGAGAGUUGUACUGAAAUGUCAUUAUUGCAGGCUUACUUUCUCUUAACUGUGGUACUCUGUGGUCCCCAGUAUGAUCUGAGGAGCCAAGCAAUGGGCAUGCUUUCUCCAUAUUUUGUUGCUGAAACACGAACACUUUGCAUCCCCAAAACUUCUGUGCGUGUGUCUGUGUGUGUAGGGGGAAGGGGGAAGUCAUCCUCAAGGUAACACUGAAGGUUGCAUAAUGUAACAUCAGAGGUACAGGGACCGAGCUCCUCAUUGCAGCAACGAGUUUUAGUAUGGAUUUCACUGGAGAGCAUUAGUGUUGUUCCUGUAAUUGUUCUCAACUCUACCGCUUGUCCUGUGUGGAUGUGUAACAGCUGUGGCACAGUCAGAUCACAGUUCAUAAUGCUUCUGCUCUUUGGGGAAUGAGAAAUAAAAGCUUUUGUGCAGUCCCAGAUGAGAGUGGCCACAGAGGUGGGCUGAACGCACCGUCACUCCUGCUGAGGUGAGCGCAGUUCUGCACUGCUAUUGCCAUGGUACGCAUCUCUUUGGAAGCACCAGCACAACACGCAUUUGUGAUCCAGAGAGUUUGUCUCACCAUCCAGAAAUGCGUAUGUUCUCUUUCUUCACCUCAGCUGACCCUGGCUUUGAACCCUCCCAAACCUUGGAGAUGUUUAUAGCUGCGCUUUGUUUUGUGAAUGGAAUUUGUUUUUCUAAGUGCAGCAUGAAGAUUUGCUUUAUCUGCAUGGAGCAUGCUUGCUUGAGCAGUUGCUUUCCACAGUGUGGCAUUUGUAGAUUAAAAUCUUUUCUGCCUUGGUGGUGCCGAUUCAGUUCAUUCUGCAGCUAGUCCAUUUUGCUAGCAUGCUACAGUAAGGUGCCUGGCUGCUGCAGUGAGAAAGGGAAUUUUUUUCAUUUCCUCUGAGGUGUAGAUUUGAAAUGAAACUAUUUUUUUAAGGUAAUCUGAAAACUAGAAUGACACUCCAUGCUUCAACGCGUGUUUCGUUUCACCUGUAAAACUACUUUUAAUUCUUGUGUUUGCACUUGGAACUUGAACGCUUUACACUGACACUAGAAAUGACAGCCCUGUGCAUAGAAUGUACGUUUUAUUUUAUUUUGGCAUAUUUUACUGUCCACCAGGUGUUGAUCAGAGAAUUCAGCAGUAUACAGCUGCUGUGAUGUAGUUACUGUAUGUAAUACUCUACCUAAGGAAACACGGUCUAGUGACUAGCUGGAUGGGAGGGGUUUGAUGCCCGCAGAUUCAGUUCCUGGUUCUGCUACACAGCUCAUGCGUUUGGGGUAAGGUUCACACCACCUUACACUGAUUUUCAUGUGAGUUAAAUUCAUAAAUACGAGUUGUGCACAAAAAUACCCUCGCUGCGCAAUAUUCUCUUUAUGUCGGUAACACUUCCUCACCUGACUGAGAUGUCACGUAGGCAGAUGCUGUGUUCUGCUUUUGAUCCAUACAGAGCCAGUAGGUGCUCUGUACUGACACCAAUUGCAAGACUUGAACCUUUUGUAUUUUUUUGGUGUGCUUUUAAGUGGCCAUUCUCUGAGCGAUCAAUAAUUGCGCUACUUACCAUGAGUACACUGCUGUUAAAGACCAUACAGCAGUCAGGCUACAUGCAGCUUCAGGGCCCAGUUCUGUCUCCUUUGCUUGGGAGUGAAAACAGCCAGGCUAAAGCAGAAUCAGAGACUACGAUGCUGAGAAGGGCAACUUGUGUAGAUCUGGGUCCAAAUGUUAAAUGCCCUGUUUAGAAUAAGAAGGGGUACGUUUUUUCCUCCCAAACAAACUGGUAGAAUUCAAAGUGGAUGUUUGUAAUUUAAGAUAUUGUGUUGUGUUGAGUGUUAAACAGCAGUGUUGAAGAGUGCAGGGAAAAGAUAUUUCUGCUGUGGUAAGAACUAAUACGAGCAGUGCAGAAUGCCCUGGUAUUACCCUGGCUUUUUUUUUUUUUUCCAACUUUGUGAAAUAUGCAUUUUGAAGUAUCUAGGCAGUUCGGAGAGUAACUGAACUGAGUAAAGUCUGGCAUAAGAUAGCAAGUGGGAACCCUAGAAAAUGUUUGUGGAUCUGUAGGGCACAGCAAUGCUUCCUGCCAGAGGAAGGCCCUAAGGACUCUCAUAGGCCUUGCCUGGAAGACUGUGUGGCAUCUGUGGCACGUAUGGGUCAUCAAGACAUCACAGGCAGCCCCAGAGCCACGUCUGUUCAUAGCAGACGAUGGUAUAGUCCUGAGCAGCCAUCAAGAUGCAGGGAAUGGGAGCAGGUGACCUCCAGACGUCCCCUCCAGCCUCAGCAUUGUGACCUGUCCCUCUGUGCCCAAAGACAGUGCAGUUACCUUGGCUUCUGACCUGGUUGGGAUGUUGUAGCAGAGCUCUGAGAAUAGCAAUUUGGGAAUCAGAGCUGGCUGUGGUGAGGAGUGCUUCAAAGUUAGUCUCUGCUAAGCUCUUUCAUCAGCAAUGCAUGCACCUCACUGAUGGACCUCUCUAGGAAACGUUGCUCAUCCCUGCUUCAUAACCAAACCUCGCAGCUUUUCACAGCUCUGCCCCCAGCUGCUGUGACCGGGUGAUGCCACAGGAUUGGGGCUGUGAGAGCAGCAGGGAGGGCUGUGCUAAUUUAGAUGAUUUAAAUAAUUGUGCUCUUGAUACUGCCCACUUCCUUCUGUUUUGCCAGUGACCCUUCUGGCAUAUUCAGUAGGAUGUGCUGCCCGCUGGCCGUCCUUUCUGCUCAUCUCAUCUCCUGCCCAGCAGUUCUUAUUGCUGGAAUGCUUCCUGCAUGCUGCAGCACCCAUCCUUCCCAGACACCUCGUUGUGAGCUGCUUAGCAAAUGCAGAGAAUCCUGUGAUGGGCAGAAAACAUAGCAUAUAGACCCAGUGAAAAGGGGAGCCCACCCUGGGCCAAGUAUCUGCCAGGUGUACCUCAUGCUUUCUUCACAAAACCUUCAAGUGCAACUUUAAUUCCAGGCAGAUUCCUAAGUUGUAGUGAAAUCCCUGGGUCCUGCACAUGCUCUUUAAUAUAGGCGUACAUUGUGAAUAGAAACAGCUUAAUGAACUGGAGCCAGGGUGGGGAAUUUUGGGACUCCUGCUGUUCUGCUUACAGUGUUUUGCAGGAGAGUUUAAGGCUGAGGAAUGACACCAACUGGAUUCACAGAACAAUCUGCUCCCGUUCGCACGAACUCCAAAUUAUUUUCCUUCUCACAUGCAAAGUUGUACCAAGAGUUGCAUUUAAAAACCCAUCUGCUGUCCAUAUUAUAUCAAUAGAAAGAAGUCUAAAAUUUUUCUAAAAUAUUCCGUUUACUCACUCCAUACUGCUGUCAUCUGUCUUUCAACUACAAGCCAUUUCUUGUAGUUGCACUCAAAAUCUUCCCUCCACCAACAGAUGAAACUCGUAGUUGCUAAAAGUGCAAAACUGGGAACAGGAUGCUAGAAACUAGCAGUGCCUGCUUUUCAAACGUGUUUCUGAUAGUAUAAAAUACAUAAAUUGAUGCAAUAAUUUUUCCUUACUGAGUGUGGGAAAUAGUAAUAAAUUACUUUAAAAGUUUUCUCGUGGUUUUUUUUUCAUUAUGCUAAUAAUAUUUUGAAAUCUCAACAAUGUCUAUAAAUGUCUGAAUAUAAUUUUACAUGCAAAUAUGUAGUGUGUGAGAUGUAUGAUAAGCGCCGGGCACAGGGUGUUUGUAGGAAACAAACUGGUGCCUGCAGCAGCAGUUUGUUGUGGCUGUGCUGGAAUAACAGAUUCAAGGGAUCUUAUUUGUCAGUACCUCACCUUGAGGGACCCAGCGGGAGGUGUAGGGGCUGGGUGGUUAUGAAGCGGCAGCUGUUGAGGUGGCAGCAGAUGUGCCUGACGAAGAGCCAGCUAGAGCGCUGCGAUCCACAGCCAUAGGUGAGCUGUUGAGCUGUGUGUUGCAGUGCCCAGACCUGCUUCCUUCCCACCUUUCUUUAGGGGUGAUUAGGUGCAGACUUCAGCUUUUAGUAGUGUUGCAUCUCCACGUGCCUAUUUUCUCUAGGGAUUCUGUGGUGUUUUACCAGUUAAUGCUGCUGUUUUUCCCUUGAGGAUGCUAAUGGGCCCUCUCUUGUCUGUUCAAGCACAAAUUGGGAUUGGAAGGAACUUCUGGCAACGGUGGUGCAGUUAAUCUUGCUAUGUCUGUUAAAUCUCUUUAGAGAAAUUAGUAGGGAAGAGACAGGUACAGGCAUGCCAUUACACACAAUGUGGUUGCAGAUCUCUUUUACUGAGGAAACGAGGCUACAAAAGAUAUCUUGUGAGGAAGACAGAAUGUAUUCCUUUGGGAAUACUUGCUGAAUAGGAAGCUCUGUAAAAAUGGCAAAAUGUUGGAACUGUGAGAUACAAGUGAUUUAUUAUUUUCUCCAUGAUAAUAUCUGAAGGUUUCUGUGAAGAUGUAGGCUUCCUAGACUUGCAUCUUAAGGCACGCCCUAUUUACAAUGUAAGUAUCUCACAAGAUUAGGAGCGGUAAGAAACAUUAUCAUGGGAAUCAAAGGCUGGUGAGAUGCCUUCCAGUGUCAGAUCUAAAAUUCAAGGCAGCCGAGAGCGGAGUCCGUUCCUCCAUCCGCAUAAGGUAGCACUCCCAGCACCAGAUGUUACAUAGAGGUCAGCCUUGUGGCGCUGUGUGAGCCAUAAGCCCUACGCUAGACCUUCAGCAAACCUUGCACCAGUGAAGCUUUUGACAUAUUUGGAGUUUAUUACAUGUAUCUUUGCGCUGUGAUUCAGGCUUAAAUUUGUUUCAUUCUGAAGUUUAAAGGCCCCUUCUGACUUAAAGCACAUGGAUUUUUUUUUAAGAUUGAUGGAAUAAUGUUAGACGCUGCUAUUUUAAAAACUGUUGUUGCCUUGCAAAAGUGAAUUUCAUGUUUCUUUGUCUAAUAAUGUAUUCAGAGCACUUGGAAGGAAGUUUUGGAGUAUGGAGAUUUCUGCCCUGGGGAGGUAGUAUCCUGUGCUUUAGUUAGGUCAUGUCAGGCCAUUGUUUUGCUUUUCAUAUCAUAAAGAUCUUGUGUCUUUAUUCGCACUCAGCUGUGGACUUGAGUUUCCUGCAGAGAGUGAAAUAAUUAAGAACUAAUGCUAUGAAAUCGUAUGUCCUCCAUUUGUAGCUGGGUUUAAUUGAAGGCAAUUUUUAUAUACAUAGUAAUAAGUGAUGUAUAUAAGUAACAAGUAAUAUUUCUAUUUGUGGUGCUCAGUAUAGCUGAAACGCAGCCGGAUUGUUUUCUAUGUGAGAAAACAAACAGAGAGAUUCAAAGGUUUGUAGAACUUGGGUCUCUAUCCGCUGCCUAAUUUCAGCCCUGCCUGCCGGCUGCUGCUCUCCGCUUUGCCUCUGCUGGUAGAUCACGCCGGGACAGGGAUGGAGUUGGGCACAAUAGAUUUACUGGUCCAGAUAUGGCAGGGGAGUUGGCUGGGUAUGCUGGAGGGUUUGUCAGCAUAAGGAGCCAGUAAAGCGGGCUUAUGCAUGGGGUGCCAACGAAGGGUGUGCAGAACACAGAGCUUACUCUUAAAACCUGCUGUGGCUACGCAGAGUCGCGCAACCUAAAUAUGGAUCUGGUGAGGAAGGGCACUCCUGGCUUAAAUUGAGAGCUUACGUUACUGUGCAGUUGUGGCAUGUAAGGGAGCAGCAACUCUCGAGGGAUUGCUGCUAAUGGGAUGGGCAAAGCCUCUCUGCCUUGCCUGUUAAGUCUGGGUUGGUGCUAAUGCCAGGGCUGGGGCAUGAACCUGAGUGAUGUAAGUAGUAGCAUCCACAGUCACAGCCUGGGGUGAGCAUGUGCCUGCUUUGCACAUCAGCUGGAUUUCCAUCAGGAUUUCUAGCACUGACAGCAGGACACUUUUCACCAGAACCAAGUUCAUCAUCAAACAGAAGGAGGCAUGCAAAGGGCAGUCUUGUUAAGUUUCACAUGCAUGAAGCUUUUGCUUUGGAAUGUGUUGUUCCAUUUCCUCCAAGUCUCCCUCGGGGAAACACCUGAUUUGGGUUUAUCCUGACUCUCCAGUUGUUACAUGCUACCUCAAGAUUGCAGCCACAGCUUCCGCCUGCACCAUCCUCUCCCUGGCUUCCCGCUGGUGCUGGGUGCAGCACAGCGGGUUGCCAGCAGAAAGCAGCCCUGGCUGCCCAGCCAAGGGUGCAGACGGAAAGAAAUGGCACCUGCUGCACUGCACAUCGGGGACAGGCCUAGCUGGGAGGAGUUGGCAGAGAUUGUGCUGAGGCUGUCUUCAUGGAUGGGGCAACAUCAGAAAGAGGUGCAACGCACAUUUGUAAGAAUAAAUGUGCAAAAUUGGUUCUUCUGGCUCCUCUUAUUGCAGACCAUCCUUUGCUGUGCAGAGGAUGUGCCCGUUGCGAGCUCUGAGCCGCCCUCAGCAGACGCUCUGUUACACUGUAGGUGCACAUCUGUGAUCUCAUCUUGAAAAAUACGACUUUACCUUCCACUUACCCUUCUGGAGACGGCUUGUCAGAGCAACAUGGUACCGCAAACUUAUCCUGCUUAAUGUCAGCUAAUUAAAUUCACUUUUGAAUAUAGUACUAAGCCAAUUUAAUUCUGUCUCUCAGAGCCUGCAGAGACGCUUGUGACUCUCGGAGGAGUUCUGUCUCUGAUUAGUGAUCAGAUCUCUUUGUGCCACUUCAGACUGUCUCUGUCUGUCUUUGUGUCUUUCACAGUGUGUUCUUAGGGGGCUGGGUGUUUUCCCCCUACUUUCACAGCCCCAACACGUGCCGUCAUGUCUAACAGCAUACUCCUUUUAAUGACAUUUGUUCUCUGAUACGAAACUUUCAUGGCUGUUGCUGGAAGAGAUAUAGGAUUUCUUGUGAAAUGCUCUGGAUGUUAGGUCUUGAUUUAGGAGGCUGUUUUUCGGAAGCGCUGAUCUCUGCAAGGACAGGGAUGUGGGUGACCUUCUUGCGCCGUGCUGGUGUCCCAGCCUCCGGAUGAUCGCUGCAUCGCAGCCCGAGCGCGACAGCCCCCAGUAAUGGUCACUGCCUGUCAUUCUCAAUGUACCUUGUGAUCGCUAACGUUCAUGAGAAUGAGGCACGGAAUUUAAAAAAGGAAUUAGUGAAAAAAAAAGUGAAAGGUCAAAGCAAGUCAUAAUGAGAAAGAGAGCAAAGCACUUAAUUGGGUAGUGCUGAUGGAAUAUAUCAUGCCAGUGACGAUCUGGUAGAUAUUUUUUGAUUCUGCCCUCUGCAUGAUUUAUUAAAGAAGGUCCAAGAGAAAAGUACUGCUUGUCUGUAGGUUUUCAUGCAGUAUUUUUCUUACUGCUUCCUUUGUGCAGCUUUGCACAGGGCAGCAUGUCGUAUCUCAUUUUGAACCCCUCCAUGCUGUCUGGUGGAGGGUACACGUACACUUCAAUGGAGGUUUCUGGUGCAGUGCAUCUUGUGUUUGUAGCUGCAUUUUCCUGCUCUCCUUGUUCCCCCUCUUUACUGAUUGCUUAUUAGUGUUAGGACAUCACAAGUGCAGAACUGAAUUGUUGUUCUCAGCCACGUAACUCUUGGUUACUGAGAAACUGCUGCUCCUCUUCAUUCCAGGAUGUAACCAAGGAGUGUUUGGAAACACUGCUCGAGAAGCAGCUUGCAUUGCUGCUUCACUACACUUGUUCUGCGCAGAGAAGAGACCUUCAGUGAAUGUGGAUAUCAGCCUGGUACAUUUUACAGGCAACGGAAUCAUCCAUGUUUUCUGUUGCCCAGUAAAGUACAGACAUGCUGUGGUGUCUGUAGUGUAGCUUUGGAUGUCACAAGAGAACUAAGAUAGGAGUUUUCUCACCUUUAUUGACAUAAUGCUUAACUUCUGACACAGGCAGAUGCCGGGAAAGUAAGACUUGGGACUGUAAUUCCUUUCUCAAUUCCUUCCAUUUUUUUGUGAGGAAAGGAGAAGAAAGAUUUAUUUCUUCAAGCAAGAUAAUGUGUUAACAGAUCAUAAGUUACUUUUUAAUUUUCAUUUUAAAAUAUGUUUUUCUGAAAGGCUAUUCAUAGGUAUGUACUUCUUUUGUAAUUAGAAGCUAUAGUUUUUUUUUCAAGAAUUUAUAAUAAAUUACAUAUAUCUGGAGAAUUCGUGAGGCUUACUACUUAGAUCUGAUUGUAGUAAACAAUUUGGUGCCUGUACCUAGCCAAUCUAACCAUGUUGGUUUAGGUAUUUUGUCCAUUUUAUGAGUUCUCAUUCAUUUUUCAAGUCAGCAAACAGUAUUUAUUGGAAGUGGAGAAAGUAUUGCUGAAACCUUGCUAAGUCCAAAAGCACAGCAAUGCCUUAUAGGCAUAUUCUAAACACCCAUGUCUGUAAGUUAUCUUCAUCUUUGUUGGUGUGAAUAUGCAGCGUGUGUUAAUGUGAACAUUUACGGUGCAAAAGAUUACAUAUUUUCUUCUUCAGUGUCAUACUUUAUUAUAAGAAAAUAAUACUUCGGGGUGAAAGAGUAACCAAUCUGUAGUUCAUUAUGUGUGAGUAUAGUUUUAGGAUUGCUUUCUGACCAGUAGACUCAGUUUUGAGAAGCAAUUGCAUGCUAAUGUGAGAGUGAGCUGACAGCAAACAAUAUAUUUCAGCUUCCAUUAAUUUUUUCUAACUGUGCCUAAUGUUUGCAUUUCAUUAAAAGUAGGAACAUACUGCGCAUGAAAAUGAAGGUCUUAAUUGAUGGCACUGGGGAUUACUGUCUAGCCUAGUAAAUAUACAGUUUGGACAAGAACUAUGUGUACUUUCUUACAAUUCUCUCUUUAUGUAGAAACUGUAUUGAUUUGUGUCUUUAGUCCCCAAUCCAUCCCCUACCAAGAUUUUAAGGGCUGGCUCUCCAGUGUAUUGCUGUCUGCACCAGCUAUUUCCAUCAUAGUCAGAGCCAUGUACUUAAAUAUCUCUUAUAUAAUUUACAUUUUCAGAUUUCACAAAGGCUUCUAGGCUUCUAAUUCACCCAGAAAGGCUUUGCCUUUGCUUUAAAGAGGUUCUUGUAGGACUUGCAAGUUCUGUCAAAGUGUAUUUUCAGAACUUUGGUAUUCUAGUCUUAGCAAAGGAAAGACGUUGGAAAGUCUCUACUCAAAAGAAUCUUUGUGAAAGGUCUUGAAAGUUGUCACAUUCAUAAGUAGUUCGGCCUCCUCUUAACAGCUGCUCCCCAGUGCCUUCUGCUCUAGAAGAAGUGCUUUUCAUUUUGAAGAGUUCUGGCAUUCUCCCGUGUGGUCCCCAAGAUCCCUCCAUCUCAACUGUGAGCAAAAAGGUGAUACGUGUUGAAUGUGCCUUGUGGACUUCAGAAUCUAGACCGUGGCCUUACCCUUGCUGAAUAAGAGGGUUAAGAACCUGUGAAGGAAUCUCAGCAAAAGGGUCCAGAGACAAUUAAACAGAGGACUCCAAACUUAGUCCAUGCAGGACCUCAGACAGUAUGGCUUUUGAAUGCUACCAAUCUGUAGCAGGCAAAACCUUAGUUUUGAACUAAUUCAUUAGACAUGCAUUUCAUUUGGUUCCUUGUGUUAUGAUUUAUUUGUGUUCAAGGUGUAGCUACUUUGUGAUCAUUCUUUUCUAUUCACGUGGUGAUUUAGGGCUUUUGUUUCCAAACACCCAUUUUCCAAGAUUACAGUUAGCAGACAACAACAACAAAAUGUUUAAAUAAAUUAUUCACCUGGAAAAUUCCGGUAGUUUUUUAAAACGUAAAUGAGGUGAUGUAAGUUACGUGAUUAAGUGCAAUCAUUAGGGAAAGACUGAUUAAAUUACUCCGAAUAAAUCUCCAAAAGAAUGAGUUGUGUGAUGCUGUAUUUUCCUGUUGAAGACAGCUAGCCAUUUUCAGCAGCAUCCUUUUAUGGUAAAGGUGCUACAGAUAAUUUCUUUGGGAGGGAAGGCUUUUUUUUUUUUUUUUUUUCUUCCCCCCAAGCCUUUAAUGAACGUGAAAUGGAAUUGGGAAGUAAAAUUUAAGCAGGUCAAUGGAAGGAUUCUAACACUGAAAAACGUCUAUUUUAAGGAAUCUCCUUUAUAAUGAUCUGAAUGUGAAGAGUUGGUGGUUAUCUACUCCUUAAAAGUUUUAAGUGUACUUUUAAAGCUGUCCACCAAAUCCAGAUAAUGCUUUCUAUUUCUUUUAUACUCAUGUCUUUCUGGUAGCGCAGAUAUGUACUCGAAUUCUAGCACUAAUAUUCAUAGCAGUUCAUGCUAAUAACAGAGAGUCCUCUGUGUCUGCUUUCUAGCAGAAUUCCCCAGGCAGACUUGUUCUGAAGCCCGUAUUGGUUAGGGCAGAAGUGCUGUGAGUUGUGCUGGGUGUUAGGCUGUAUUGGAAGAGCUCACAGGCAGUCGGUGCUGUUCAAACCGCGUUCCCGUCUGUCCGUGCCAGGAUGUAUAUUCUUCACCUGCUGUCCUUCAGCCAGUGACUGCACUUGUUUUCAGCAGCCCCCAGCUGAAUUCACAUAGGUCUGUAAGCUACAGAAAGCCUGGAGUGGGGCCUUGUGGAGCACCUAUGAGUACACCUAAAUAUACUUUCUCUUCUUGUGGCUGCUUCUGUUUGCCAACUUAUGUUUGCCUGCUCAGAAGCAGUGUAAAUAGGAGAUAUGGCGUAUUACCAUUGUGCCAUUGGAAGUAUACCCUUUGCAAGUAUAUAUAUUUUUUUCUUGUUUUCGACCAUGGAGUUCGCUCUUCUGACCUUAAGUUUGUUAUUAAAUACCAAAUGCAGAGUGUAGGAGACACUGACUUGCUUAGUUGGCAGAAAACGCAGAAGUAUUUGGUGCUGGAGUGCUGUGUGAUGUUGUGGCUGGCCAAUGAAGCGUAAUAAAUGCAAGAGCCAAGCCACUUUGGAGGUAUGAAGAGUCAGAGAAGCAUUAGAGUAAUUUAAAAAAUGUAAACUGUGGGUAAAAUCUAACAACAUCAUUUCUUUAAAGUUCUUUGUUAUUUACCAGACUUCCCUCCUGAAAACCUCCUACCCUAGAAUGAGAUGCAGUUUGCAGAGCAGGAGGAAGAUUGGUUUCUGUCUGGGGACACUCGGUUUAAAAAGACAGAACUCCGACUUUAUCUCUGAUGCGACUCGAGACCACUGUGGUUGUGUCUGUAUGAGUGUGCUCUGGGUGUAUUUUUGGGUAUCCUGUAAGUCAUUUUAUUCACACUUUCAAAAUGAGGGGACCCCAGUUAAUCUGCCUUAUAUAUCAAAGCUGGUUUUAUAGCUUUACAUAUAUUGCACUGUAGGGCUAGUCAAUAAAAUUUAAAAAUGAAUUUCUUAAUUCUUGCCCUCAUUUCACUCAAGGAGAUACAUGGUCCAAGCAAUUUUUCAUUUAUUUAGUGCUGCAGAUUUUAAGAUUUCCUGAACCAACUUGUUUCCAUCAGUUAUGGUUUUGCCAUUAGUUUUAGUAGGAAAAAGCUUUCCUAGCUUUUAAGCUGGAAAGUUGGUUUGUUUUUUCGCCAUCUACCUUUUCAGAGGAAACAGUGGUGCCAGUACAAUCUCAUUGUCCGUAUCUGCAUUUAUCAAAAUAUUGAACAACAGGCCCACCUAUCAAGUGAUUUUACAUAAUUAAAUUAUUACAAAUAACAUGACUGUAGUCACCGAUAGGAAAGUAAUUCUUUUUAAGAUCCUUUGAUGUCAAGAAAAUAGUUCAUGCAGGAGCUCCAAUGCUGCACCUUUUAAGCUGGAGAUUUUCAAUUAGAAAAAGGAAAAAAAAAAGGUUGAGCCCAGCUGCUAAUGCACUGGUGAAAGGUGAAAGGUAUUACCUGCUUGUUGAACACCUGGCAAAUGGAAAAGCUGUCCACCAGACAGUUACACUUUAUGCAUUGACAAUGAAAAUUUGUUGUCACUACCUUGAUUGCCUUCAUAGCGUGCCUGAAAUCUGUCCUGUAGCAGUGGCCAGAACAGUUUGGAGACAGCAGGGAUAUUUUCCUUGCCACUGUGAGUAGAAGAAUGACUUCUGUGAGCCUGAGAGGAACAUGGGUGCUGCUAACUCUAUGUCAAAGCACGUACAUGCGUUAGUAAAGCUUGAAGUAAACCUCUGAGUACGAUGAACAAUAUCUGGAUGUGUUAUGUUUUCAGGUGGGACCCUCUCCUGAUAUGUGACCUACCGCAAGCUACCCUGAAUCGUAUGAUGACAAUGUUAUCGCUGCCACAUCUCUGGAAACCAGUUACUCAUAAAUAUAUGGUAUGUGAACUUCUGCAUCUUACAUUAAGCACUGCUAGUUGGAGCAGCACAGUAACAAUAAUAUGAAGGUGCUAAAAGCUAUUGAAGUAAAUGUUAAGCCACAUGUAUAAUAAAUUACCGUCAGCCAUUCCAGCAGAUGUUUAUCUGCUAGGCCUGGUCCAUAUGCAGAAUGGUGAACUGUUUUAACUGCAAAUACAAUCUUGAAAACGCAUUCAUUUACAGAUGUUGUUAGAAACCUACCGAUGUUUUUUUUGGAUGGAGUUAUACCGGUAUAACCAUGAUGUGCAGAUAUGCAGCCUGCUAUUCUCCUCCUCGAGCAGGAAGCGGUGGUGGUAUUGGCAUGAAGGGUUCUGUGCCUUAACUGUAUUGUUGCAUUUAAAGCACUACUAUUUUUGUGUUUAGGAAAGGCCUUUAAUUGCUUUUCUCCUUCAUUCCAUUUUCAGUUUCUGGUCAAUCUAAAUUAGAUUAAUUUCACACACAGUGACUCCCUAAAGAAGUGCAAAUUAACUCAAUUUUACCAAAUUCAGCCAGAUGAUGGCAGUUAUUCCCUUGCUGUUUAGCUGUACAUUAUACAGUCUUUGAAUAAGAUUUCUAUAGGAAUUAAAUCCAUAUAUUGAAUCUUUUUUCCUUAGCCUGUAAGACUAAGACCCUCACCUUGUGAAAGGAGGUUAUUUAAUUUCUAGCCUGCAAGGCAAAACUAGCCUGCUACCUGGCAUGUCUUUCUUUCUUACUCUUCUGAUUCAGGGACUGUAAAACCACAAGCAAACUGGCUUUAUGAGAACUGCUACAUGAUUGCUUUGUAUUCUGGAGUAGUUUUGUAGCAUACCACGUAACCAUUAGCAUGGAGCAUCUUCUGAUUUAUGGUUCCAGUCCAGCUCCCACUGAAGCUGGUAGGAAAAUGUUUCUUCAUGCUGAUGGGAGUUGAAUUGCACCGCAUGUGCCAUCUGAGACUUUUAAGUAAUGUUCCCUGUGGGAAAUUUUUUUUUUACUGAUAGCCACUUUUUUGAGAUCGAGUGUUAAAGAUAUAAGCAUAGAACAAAAUUACAAGGAAAGGAUUGUUGAAAUAACAUAGGAAAGGGCUCAGUGGAAGUCCGUGUGCAGAUUCAAGAGUUGUAAAUGGGUGAGGAGAGAUGACUGUUUGCCACAAAAGCGUUUAUCUGGAUUCUGUGUGCUGCAUUUUUACAUAUAAUUUGGGGGGUGUUUGUCAGAUGUGUGGCUGAUUUACUGUUAAUGUCAGUGAUGUAAGAGACAGAAAGUACAACAGAAGUCUUAGAGGGAGUAGGGAGAGGAAAUUCAUGCUUCAUUAAACAAUUUGAUGUAUUUUGGGAGAGCCAUUCACAACUCAGAUAAUUUCUGAAUGUUCUGAUUAAUGAAGAAGUGACCAGAUCUGGCUCACUCUGGUUCUGCUUGAAGGGAACAUCCUGGAGAUUAGGUGGGAGAGCAUUGACCCUGCUUACACUGAAAGGACUGCUAGUGUGUCUGUGUGGCCACCCAUGCAUGCCAAGUACAAUUAACACCAUAGUUUACAGAUUUUUUUCUACACAUUUGUUCUGACAUCUCCUGUAUCAGCCAUAUCUAAGAACCUUUUUAAGAUGAGCACAGGAAUAAUGAUUUCUGUUGCUCUUGUUUCUUCUGAGUUGAUUCAUUUUUUAGCACUCAAAAUUGCCAGUGGAUAUAUAUAUAUUUUGUAAAUAAGUCAUUUUGGUGUUUGUGGGCAUGUUUGUAAAGUAAAACUGGUUUGAAGAAAUAGAGUUUUGCAUUCUGUAUGGGCAGAGGUCUGGAGAGGAGCUGGUAGGCCAACUAGACUAGCUUCCUUUUGCCACCUUUUCCAAAGGUACCUUUUCCAAAGUAGAAUGGUUGUGUUUUGGUUGAUAUUUUCAGGAUUUUUUUAGGUGGAAGGUGGCAUAUCACUGGAAGAAGGGCCCUCUGAGGGGAAGGCUGAUGGGGAGGUGUGGUUGCUAAAGUGGUGACUGUUUGCAGAUCUAUGUGUUUGCUGGGGACGGAGAGGAAGCAGACACCUCUCUGCUCUGCUUCUGAUGAGCUGAGAACAAGGUGUGCUAUGUCUCGCACCUCAAGAGAACUUAUUAUAUGAGGUAAUUACCUCUACCCAAAUCAAAAUGAAAUUUCAUUUGUUGAAUGUAGGAAUCAGAAUGAAGGGUUUUUUUUGUUUUGUUUUUCCUUUUGUGUGUUUUGGUUUUCAUCUUUGGCUAAUUCUCAUACAGCGUUGCAACAGGAAACUAAUCUUCAGGAGCACAGCCCGUAAAAGAUAGGCCUUCUGAGGGACUGGACUCUGCUUAUUGCAGAGACCUUCCAAGACAGGUACAUUGUAAAAGAUUACAGACCUUCACAGGAAAUUAAAUUGGAUGUGAUGUAGUAAAAGAGUGAGAAAAUGGAAAGGACAUAUGUAGCACAUUUAUGAUGAUUAAGUGGUAAGAAAAUGAAAACAUACGAUGCAGUGAAGUGUAUGUAAUUUAGAUAUUGAUACACACUUUCUAGUAUUUUAAAUAAUCUGCCCCUCCUCUUCCCUUUGCUCUCUCUGUGUCAUUAUCUCAGUGUGGAAAAUCAUUAGCAUCUUGUAAAAUCAUGUUGAUUUGGGGCAUAUUAGGUUAUAAAGUGUUCUAAAACAAGUCUCAGUAGUAAUGUGGAGUGCUCUCCAUUGCAUCAUCCAGAGGAAGGUGUGUGGGGAGCCAAACUGGGAGUGCUGGGCAAGAGCUGCGCUCUUGGCUGGUGGCUCACAACGUGGUGAUAUGGUGCUGGUGGGACAAAACUCCCAGUCUGUCUCCUCCUCAGUGUCAGCUCAACUGCAUGGGUGAGCUGGGCUCAUUCCUGUCCAGGUGCCUGUGGGCAGAGCACAGGUUUCCCUAUCAGGGAAUUCUUUCAAAGGGGACAGUAAUAACUUCCAACAUUUUAAUAACUUUUCUUAUAAGAUCUGGUUACCUGAAAUUGGAAAGGAUAAGCAGAACUCUGAGAGAUUUAACUUUAUUAAACAUCAUAAAUCCUUUCCCUUUUGACCCUAAUCAGUCCCCAGAGUCUUUUUAAUGCUCUUGACAUUGCACCGGCCUUUCAUCAUUGCACAAUAUACGUUUUCCUGUUACAAGGAAACCGGUGGUGAGAGCCCCACUUAAACCAGAGGUGAAGGCAGCAGCAGUAGGUUGGGCAGAAACUCACUGCCAGCAAAGGGAAGGAGGGAGCUGCACUUUGGCAGUACUCCUCAGCAUGUUCCUUCCAUCUGUGGAGAGGAGUGGAGGGGACCCGAGGGUGCCGGAGAAACCUCUCCCUGCAGUUUGCGAGAGCACUACAGACAACACAACAGUGCUUUUGUGCCUUGUGCUGGCACGGGGGCUAAACCUGCCUCAGAAAGCCUCCUUAUGAUUAGGCACUGCCCCACGUCCCCGGGGGUAGCAAGCAGCAGGAAGCACUCGCUGCAGGCCGGCCAGCUCAGCCCCAGGAGCUGUGGACAAGAAAGAGGUGGCUUAUGGCACCGGGAUGUGGGGACUGCCGGGCGGAGGUAUGGUGAAUGGGGCCCUUCUUCGCUGGGAAGGAGCCUUACCAGGUGGUCGAGGGAUGAGGAAUGAGAAACAAAGGCCUUCUUCAUAAAGCAGCUACCUGGGUUUCUGCCUUCCUGUCCAAGGCGCGCACAAAUCCUCCGGAAAGCGAAGGGGGAAUUCCCGGGCUGGUAGUCUGUCCUUCCUUGUGCUGUCCAGGAAUUCAUGUGAUGGGGAAGGCAUCCAAAGAAUCUGUCCCUAUGUGUAGGGAAGCUAAGUUCCCUCUUUUUCUUCCCUAUGUGCGAGUCAGCAAGUUUCUUCUGCAAAUGCCUUAAUUUUAAGCUUAAUGCUAUGCAAAUAUUUGGCUUUGGAGGUAAAAGCCUCAGGCUGGCUUCAGCUCACGGACUGGCUUCCAGCUGUUUCUACAGGUACUGAUCCAAUGUUUAUAUACACAAAUUGCUAUUUAUUUAUUUAUUGUGGUAACCUUUUAAAAGAAACUUGGAUAUUUGCCUAGCCUGUUUUUGCUUCAUACUUGAAAAUUGAUGUAUUUGCAAUGUGCGUACAGCCAUUUUCAGAAGCUUUGGCAAAACCCUCAGAUCUGCUGAAGAUAAUUGUGGUAGGCUGAAUCCUUAGAUAGCACAGAGUUGUACUGACUGAUUUUUCCCGUAAAGAAGUGCCCAACACUUUGCUUACCCCUGGAAGCCCACCAACCUCGACUAGGAAACAAAGGUGUAGGAAGAGCUGGCGCAUGCUGCAGGAGCUUUGUGCUGUAAUUUGGUUGUCUGGACAAGCAGUCACGGGGCAAGAGAACAUUCAGAAUGAGUGUCAAGAGUGCUAGCAAUACAUACGUUAACUAGGUUUCCAAAAUCUACUAAAAUGCUACCUUGAUGUAGAGCACAGUGUUCUAUCCACAUGUAUUUCACUUUCUCCAGCUCUCGUCUCAGCUCCUGCUUGCCUGCAAUCAGCCUCUUAUUAAAAGGGGAAAGUCCAUCGCCUUGUGGACCUUCUGCAAUGUGCUCAGCGUGUGAGCUAUUGACUUCAUAAAGACAAGAAUAGCUAUCUCAAAUGUGUUUCAUUUGCAUGUGGCAAGAUAGAAAAAGCAAACUCUGUGUGAAGACGAGCAGAUGAGAAAGACACUGAAUGCCUUAAAUGCUAAGGGAGUUAAUGCUAUGCAGUGAUUUUUGCUUCUGUUAUAGGAAGUGUAAGAACAGUACGCUUCCUAGCGUACAUCACCAUCUAAACUGCAAAGAUUUCAGUUCCAUGGCAACACGAGGAGCCCCAUGGUGCUUAAGGUGUACGUAUUAAUGCAUUCAGAGUUAGGGGCUGUUACUGAGAUGGUAAGAAUAAAACAUUCGGAAUAUCUCCCAUUUACUUAUUGAAGGCUUUGUUUAUAGAAAAUCAUCCACCCCCCCCGUAUUGUCUCCAGUCCUUUCUAUGUGUGUUUUUUUCUCAGACAAAAAGCAAAUGAAGCGAUUGUUAACUGGUGGUAUUUUUUCCAUAAGACUGUUCAGUGCAGCAGCACUUGAAAGUUGCAAGAAAAUGCUGUUGAUUUUUGGUACUGUUGUGUAUCUCUGGAGAGGAGGACUUGGUAGCAGGGGGGAUUAUUUCUUCCCCAAGAUGUACUGCUUUAUAGACCAGAGUGAAGCAGUAUUUGGGGUUUUUUUUACCAUUGUUUUCCUUAUUCUUUUUGAUCAGCCCUCUUUCUGCCUUUCUUUACAUCGACAUCCAGUUUCUCCAGUCUGAGGAGCAGGAAAUACGACUGAGCUCUGUUUCCUGGCAUCCAAAGAAAUAUACAAGUGCAAGGAAACAGAGUAUUUUGUUUCUGCCAGUUGCUUGGGUUUGCAAUGUGUCCCCAGUAAUGCACCUGGACAGAGCCUGAGUCCCCCUCUAGAGCAAGUGGGUGAGGGGCCAGGGAAGAACCCAGGCGAGCAGCAGGGCUAAGCUGGCACAGGAAGACUGACAGAAAUGGGCAAGUUGAACUGGUUUUACAGCUGUUUUGCAUUGCUGAAACAGGCAAAGCAGCCAGAGUUAUCGGUGGGUCUGGCCUGUAGAUUUCGUCGAGAUUUCUCUGUGUGACUGCAGAGAGAGCACAGCGCUGCAUUUGGAGGCUGGUUGGCUGUUUCCUGUUGCUGUGCCAGGAGGAAUAAAUUCAUCUCUCUGUUAUCUCUAUCUGUAUCUCUUUCUUUCUUUUUUUUUUCAUUUGCUCACAACAGGAAUUUUUUUUAUUAAAAAUAAGGCUGUCAUUCACUGAAGGGGGAGGUUUUGCCUUCAGGAGUGCAGCACAACCCAAGUAAAUCCUUUCUGAGGACAUAAGGAGGAAUGAAAUGAUUAAGUGACACUGCACUGGCACUCUGCAGAGGGCCGAUUUCCACCCUUGGGCAGCAGAACCACAAAGCAAGGAGGUGUUGCAUGUACACAGCAUCUUCUAGGAGAGCUCAGCACUGGGAGCCCCGGCCAUGUGCUGAUGUUGCUUGUCCUUGUAGUUCUUGCUUAAAAAAAACCCACACAGGUGGAGCUCACUGACUAUGUGGCUGUACAAUUAAUGCAUGCUUGUCAAAUGACAUGGGGCCUCAAAUGAAGAGCAUUGUUCAUUCAUGGGCAUCUGUGCGUCAGUGUCCAACCCAGUGCAGCCUCUGGGUAGGCCAGAUGCUUUGGGGAGCACCUCAGUCAGUGUGGCAGGAAGGAUGGAGAGAAAGCACUGAGAAACUUCAAAGAAAGAAAAAAGGGAGGAGAGAAAUCAAGGGCAGGAAGAGAGAUGAGUGAGGAAACAGCAAAGGCGAAAGGGCCAGCGGAGAACAACAGGGGGCUGGGAAGAACACAGGGCAGGAAGGAGAGAAUGCUUUGGUGUGCUUGAGAAAAAAGUCAUUUUCAGAUGAAACGCAGACAAAAAGGAACAAGAAAAUUACAGAAUGUGAAGUGGGAGAGGAUAUCAGAGUUGCAAAGGAGGAGGAUUCAAACUGAUACAAACAGAAAAUAUGUAUAACGUGUAUGGAUUGAUUUGAUGUGUUGGCCCAGCCAAUUUUAAGUAGCGACUGGUAAGUCUGUAGCAGGAAAGGGCUGUGCCAUUCUUCAUGAGGAAGCUUUGGGCUGGUAGGGAGCAGCAGGGCCAUGUGGGGAGACUGCUGCAGGUCCCAUGGCUGGAGCUGGAAGCGUAUCACUCCAUCUGCAAUGUUUGCUUCUUUCUGUCUCUCUCUGCAGGGCCUGGACUGCUGCCAUCUCCCUCCUUGGAGAGCAGGGUAGUGGAGCACCUGCCACCAAGGAGAAAAACUGCCUAUCUUGCCUUCAAAGGCUGGUGGCCAGAAAGAUGUGUCUGGUUGUCUUCUCGUUUACCUGUGCUGCUGUUAGGCAGGCAGGUAUAAGGUCUCUGUCUAUAUCCCUCUUGUGCAAGCUAUCUAGGCUACCAGAAAUAAACAGCUGAAUGGAAAUUUUACUUCUGGCUGUGAAAAGUGGCUUUUGAAUGAAGUCUACUUCAAAUAACAAAUGCCUUCUUUCCUCCUCCUCCUCUCCACCUACUUUGUUCCUAACCAUUAACUUUUCAUGUCACUUGAGCUAAGUUCAGUGUCAGACUCACCAGAUCCUACUGAAAAACACAUCUCUCUUUUGUGGCAAGCUGAAGAAGAUGAGAGGCUUGUGGUGUUUUUCCUUCUCAAUCUUUGCUCCUCUGGGAAAAGCAGCUAAGGCUGUGUGAAGCUGCCUCCUUCCCACUCUGCUCAAAAAUGCCUCUCCAUCAGCUGCUUUGAAGCUUCUCUUAAGGAGGCUCGGCCUGGCCUGCUCAGUGCCAUCAUCUGCCAGGGGAGGUUUUCUCAGCUUGUGGUGGCUUCCAUCGUGGUAGAAGGCUGCAGAAGAUUGCUGUGGAAUAAGUCAUCAUCACCACUAGCUAUGCCAUUUGAAAAUCAUUACUUAAGCAUGAAAGAGAAGAAAAAGAUGAAACAUUAGGAGAUUUAAACCCUACCCAAAGCUCCAAAUAAUUUCUGCCAUUUCUGCUUUCUGUUUCCUAAUCAUAGGCUGCUUCUGCCAUGAGAGGAAAUGGCAGUCACUGGACAGUGGCGCUUGAAAUAUUCUGCGGCGUGCACUAAUACUUAUGGUAAAGAUGGAUGUAUUUAUGGGAAACAAAUGGAGAUCUGAGCUUUCCUGGGGACCUUAAUGGUAUUUUCUGUUAUAACUUGCGUGCUAAUACUUGCUUAUUUUGAUCGGUGCUGAAAAACAGGAUCAGAAAAUAGAAUGUGGACUUUGGGUGCUGUCACACAAUGAUGAGUCAGCUGAAAUUGAAGCCAGUUCAAGGUUUAAGUAUGAUCGUUGAUGUUCUUGAAAAACAAAAUCUCUCAACCAGUCAGCAGCUGAGUUUACUUCUCAGCUGUUAGACAAAAGCCACCCUUUGCAGGGAUGCUGUGUGACAGAAGGAACUCUUUCCUUUUCCCUCACCUUGGCCAUUAGUCCAACAGUUAGGAAUCAGAUUUAACCCUUGGUGUUCGUUGCAGGCUUUGUGAGUCUUUUCCAGCAUUGAAACAAGUAUUUUUGAUAGACACACUAGUUUGUUGAUUUGUUUGCAAUCAGUUUUCCCGGAGGUUGCUGUAAUGUGGGAGGAACUGAGUUCUUUGGGUGCAAACGUUCACUGCUGACUCUUCUUAGUCAUUAGAUGUUUUUCACAUUAAGGUGCUUUUACUUUUAUGGGAAAAUGUCAAGCAUCUUCUGAUAGUAGGCAUUCAAAUUGACAGAAGCCAUUGGCUGGGGCCAAUGCAGCAUCACGCCAGCACAGACCUCAAGGGGGCUGCAGAGCCCUGUUCCCACCCAUGCACCCCUGCUUUACCUCCUGAACCAGCCCUAGGUCCGACAUCCUGGUACCGACCUACAUCCAUGCUGAUGUGCCACCAAACUGAAAGAUGUCACUGUUCUUUUCCAAAAAGAACGUGUCUUUUUAUACAGUUCCCCUGCCAUCUCUUUUUAUUUUCUAACUGCAGCUCUUUUAAGGCUCCCUGCCUUUGCAGUUCUUGCCUUUGUUUAGAUUAUUUUUGGAAACUGGGGAACAAGAGGAGGGAUGAAGUUCAGGGGGCUGACUGUACUAGGAGGCCGAAACUCUUUCUGUCUGUGUGCUCUUCCCUCUUCUUUCUUCUCUCCAUGGCAGGGCAGGUUCCAGGGCACGCCAUGGCCUCAUGCACAAAACGUGGCUGGCACAUGUGCCGACCCCCCCUUCCUUCCUGGAACCACCAUCAUUGCUCUUCUGCUUUCCUGGGUCAGCUGGGCAAAAGGUUUGAGAGCUGUGAGUUUUGAGAGCUGUGGAAUACUGGGGAGCACUUGCACCUUAAGGUAAAUUGUAUGCAGAGAGGAAUGUGUUUCCUUUAUUAUUUUUCAGUGAGGCAGCCCCACAAAGGUUGUUGGCCUUUUCUUUAAGUAUUGUCGUGUUUUUACAUCAGGAGUGUCACAUACUGGCUGCCAAGCUUGGCAAGAAAAUCUACAUUCUCUGGAAGCCUGAGGAACAGCAGCUGAAGCCCGAAGGCGGCUUUCUCUGCAUAGGUUUUUUAAGAUAGUUAGCGCUUGGGAAGUCAUUGGCUGUGAGAUAGGUCAGGCUGUCCUCUUGAUAGCUGAGACAGUACUCAGGUAAUUGAGAUACUUGUGAUUGCCCAUGGAAAUUUGCUGAUGUUUAUAAUACUGUCAGGCGCUAAAGUCACUCCCUAACAUUGCUUGUGGGAUCUUACAGUGGAUCAAUAUCUAAGCACAAUGUGGGAAUUUUCCUCACAUACAUAUUUUUUUUUUUUCUGUGGUUAUGAAGAUGCCUAAAUAGCAGUAUGCUGCAGUAAAUGUUAAACAUUAAAAACUGGUUCUGUGUGUACUGAUAAGAGUAAAUCACUAGAGAAGGAAGUAACCUGAGUUUGGCUGGUGAAGCUGAUGCAUCUAUGGUGGAAAUCAAAGUGGGGGAUGAUCACAGUCCUAAUUCUGUCUUUGGAGAAUAGAUUUGAGUCAACAAGAAGAGAGAAUGAAUAUGACUUUUCCCUGAAUUAAAAAGGGAGGGUAGAUGAUUCUGUACAAGAAGCUGCACAACUGAUGCAAAAAGUGAGCCAUAUGUAGGGAGAGGGUAAUCAACAGAACAUGAAAUACUCUUUGAAAUACAUUGAAAUUGAGUGUUGUUUGUUGUUAUUGUUGUUGUUUUUAAACUGCUGUGCAGUAGCAGAGAUCAGUUAAUUCUGUGAUUCUGUAAAUGGUUGUGCAAAGUGGUCGCUUAGGGGAACCAUAGAAUCAUAGAAUGGCCUGGGUUAAAAAGGACCACAGUGAUCAUCGAGUUUCAACCUCUCUGCUCCAGGCAGGGUUGCCAAGCACUAGACCAGGCUGCCCAGAGCCACAUCCAGCCUGGCCUUGAAUGUCUCCAGGGAUGGGGCAUCCACAGCCUCCUUGGGCAACCUGUUCCAGGGUGUCACCAUUCUCUGAGUAAAAAACUUGAUCCUAAUAUAUAACCUAAAUCUCCCGUUUCAGUUUAAAACCAUUCCCCCUUAUCCUAUCUCUAUACACCUUCUCCUAUCCCCCCUUGUCCUACCACUAACCAUCUUUCUCCUGGCAUUCCAUGGUGGAGCAUGGAUGCCCUGUCGGCAGGGAUUUAUUGUCACCCACCCCAGUGCUCAUGGCUGGCACUCAGUGAGGUCUUCUGGGGCUAAUUAUUUAUUUAAUGAGAAGUGGUCACAGUGGCACUAUGAGAAGGGCAGCCCCGCAGCAGGAGGUGUCUUGGAGGUAAUCUCACUGCUCACAGAUAGGCUUCUUGUGCAUACUAUAAAUAAAUAAAGUAAUGAAUAACUGUAUGUUGGCAUUUUUGUUUAAGCUUAUUAACAGUGGCUAAUAGUAUUGAAGGUGCUUUGGGUACUACCAUGCUUUGUAGUUCUCUAAUUUCUUGAAGAAGUAGUUGAAAGGCUUGAGCAGCAAGUUAAGAAAUCAGGUUGCUGCUGACUGAACUUUUGAACUUUUCCUAACAAAAGGGUAGGUCCGCAAGAGAAGAGUCAAAUUUAUGUGUGUGUACACAUGAGCAGUCCAGAUGAUUUCACUCCGAAGAGAGAAAUCUUCCUCUUUUUAGGCUAAAUAGGCAUGGCAAUGCUGCUCCUUAGUUCCACGUGUUUCAAAGGUAACAGUGAGUGCUGGUGAUUCAAGGGAGCCUCAGGAAGAAAGGAAUUUGAGCGUAACUUAAGAGAUAAAAGCUAUUGUUUGACACGAGAUAUUUGGAGCGUCUCUACAAGAUUUUAGAUUGUGUGUUGGUUCAGGAAAGAAGAGAAAGCAAAGCAAUGAAAUCCUGUGGUUAUGCUUUUAUCAAUACAUUUGAUUUUUUGGAAGAAUGCAUUCUGGGUCUGAUCCUCAUCUUCUUUCCCAAUUACUGAUUAAUAAGAAAUAAAGUCUUGCAGAGAAAAGCUUUCAUGCUUUUAAAUUUCAUGGUCUGUAGCGAAGGACAAAAUGAAGAAAAGAAGAAGGACAAAAUGUUUUGAAAAACAUGAGAAAUGGGCAGUUUUGAUGUACCAGGCACAGCUCAGGCUGGGCUCAGUCAGUGCUGCACUGCAUUCACUGACUGCCAACUGGGCCCAUUCCCCUUCAGCCCGGUGAGGUGGCAUCCUGUGCAUGCAGUGUCAGGAUGUUCCCUGCCUCCCCCUGCCCUUCCUGCAAUAUUUUAAUUUCACUAUUCCAGCCGAGCAGAAGCUGUCAGCAGCAGCAUCUGGAGCAGCCUUGUCCUCGAGUGAGUGGCUCUUCUCUCUGCUUCAGGGCAGACAGCGGCAUUGGCAAGGCUGGAGCAACAGGACUUGGAUUUUGGGAAGUUUUAAGCUGGUUUAUGCCUGUGUUUUAAUUGUAACGUUUGACUGUAUUGAAUAUAGGAACUGUUCUCAGCAGGUCUUUGUAUGCGUGAGGCUGUUUGAGCUGGAAUCCUGUGUUACAUUGCUGUAGGUGGAUGCUGUGAUGAGGGUGGUGAAGGAGAGCAUCUUCCCUCUGCUGCCUUUCCCCGCUCCCCGCUUUCUGUAAUCCCCAGUCAGUCUGUGCCUUCCCUGGCCAGACAGAAUUACAGUAGGUAUACACUCGGAAUCGGGUUUUUAUUGUCAGCACCUGUGAGCAAUCAAAGCUUGUUUGUGCAAAUUCAAAAUGAAACUUCAAUCUGAAAUGGGUGUGAUUUCAGAACAGCUUGUUUGCAGCCAUUGUUACUCUUUGCCAAGAAAUAUAAGGCUUUACAGUAACUCCUAGGUAUUGCUCUAGUUACUGUGCACUAGAAUAAACCCAUCAUGUUUCAUGUCUGACUUUAUUUGGUCCCUUAAAGCCUAGUGGCAUACAUAUGAUGCGAGCAGACUCAUGAGACUACUGCAGCUGUAUUAUUUUUCAUUACCGUGUUCUAAAAAUUCAUGUUAAGAAUUUUGGUGAAGAAUGGAUCAUUGACAUAUUUUUAGUUAAUAUCUUGGAAUAGGGAAGUACACCAUCCUCAACUUACAGUCACUCAGCUGUGAACGAGCUAGAUACGGAAUGGACCCAGAGUGAAUACAGAGAAAUGAAAAAUCCUCAGAUCACUUAGUUGCAGCUGCAGAUGAGAUUUUUGCCAUCAGGUGAUAGUUCCAGAAUCCAGGUUCCCGGUGUGUAAGAAGAACAUCCUUACUCUGAUGGUUUGAUUUGCUUUAAAACUUUGACAUAAGAACUGUUGUUUACCGCUAGUAGUGCUACCAACUGGAACCAGGGUAGACUGUUACACAGGUAGUAGUAAGUUGACAUUUAACUAUAAGUAUACUUAUUUCCAAAGAUAAAAAUGUAGGCUUUUAUGCUUAAUAUCUGAAAUAAACUCACUUCCCUCCACCAAUUAUUACUUACCUGAGAUUUCAUCAGAGGUGUUUGCAUGCACAGGGAGAUGUCCGAUUCAUACUUUCAUAUGGAAAAAAUAAGUAAUUAUGUAGCCUCAGCAGACUCUAUUUCUAUGGUGUUUUAAUUUCACUUUUCAAUUAUAAUCAGUAUUACCUGUUUUGUCACUGCUAGCAUGAGAAGAAAAGCCCUAAGAAACUGAUGUGCAGGCAAAAGGAGAAUAGCAUAACUAUUUUUAUGUUCCUUACAUCAGUGUCCCGGUUUGUCUAAUGUUGUAUGGCACAGUGACUCCAGUGCUCCACACUGUUCUGUCCUCAGUGAGCCAAACAUCUAUUCCAAGAUUGCUGUCUGCUUCACAAGUUGUAGAAACUUUCGAAAAAGAAUUUGCUAAUUUGGGGUGCUCAUUCAUUGUCUGCUUGGAAAGCUGAUUGUCUCUAUGUUUUCAGCAAACAAUAUUCUUACACUAUCCUUACAAUGUCCUUACAAUAAUAUGUAUUCCUAAUGGAAUUCUUUUGGUCAGCAAGGGAGAAUUCAUCUGCUUAGGACUUCAGAUGCUUCAAUUCAGAAAACCAUCAGGAAGCACUGCUGCACCAGGGCACCUCUUCAUUCAUUUAUGCUUAUUUAGCUGGGUAAUGACAGUUACCAUUGUGAUUCCCCUUCUGUUCUGUACCUUUCUUCAUUUUUAUUUCCUUGCAUUGAAAAGCACUACAGUGUUACUACUGGGAACAUCCAGCACUGUUCCUGCCAGUCCCUUAUUUUUCCAUAUGCCCUUUCACCUCAGAGAGAGCGCCAUCACUGCCCAUCCGUCAUGUCUCCCAUUCAUACCUAUUCUGUACAAGGUUUGCUGGGUUUCUUUUUGUUUCAGGAACACGGGCUUUUGCAAAGCCUGUUGGCGUCAGAAGCACUUGCACAACUUGUACUACGUCUACUAUAUCAGAACCGACAGAACUGGCAGCUCUUUUAAAAAACAAAAACAAACAAACAAAAAAAGCCCCAAAACAGGUAAACCUGCAAAAAAAAAAAAUUAAAAAAAACCCUCUUCCAAAUGGAGUAAUAUGCCUGUUAUAGAGAAACAAAGGCUUUUGACUCUUUCUUGUUCAGACAGCCCCUUGGAGGUAUGGAUUGCUUCCCCUUAAUGAGUAUUGACCGGGUCUGGGAGACACAGCACCGGGAUCUUCCAGAUGGGUGCCUGCUGGGGUUAACCCCUUCUGCAUGUCAGCAGGAGACUGAACUUCCAAGCACUGGGUUCCCAGCCAUUUGAAGGCUGCUGGGCUGCAUGCGCUGAGGCUCUGCAGGUUACGGUGUGCCUGUGGUGUGUGCUGGAACAGGCGGGAAGUGCUGGGCUGGGGCACCCCGGGACACCACUGGAUGUGUCUGCUCAGGGCUGUUAAAUUAGGCCACGUGCACACAUAUAUAUGCGUGAGGGAAAAGUGAGGGCUUUGCAAAGCACUUGGGCUAAAAAUAAUGUCCGGUGUUGUUUUUAGGUAAUAAUGCUAUCACAGAUGAAGAAAGUGAGGGAGGAGUUUGUAGCCUGGGACAUUUCUUCUUUCCUUUGCUUUGCAGGGUAAACGCUAAAGAUCCUGGAGUGUUUGUUUGGCUAAGUAAUGCUUUCCAGAAGUAUGUCAAUGAAGUAGUCAUUGAAGUCAUAGAAUACUUUCCUAUAUUUAGCAUUUAAAUAUGCAGUAGAAAGCCAUUAACUUUUAAACUCCUAAGAACCGUAAGCAUUCCUGCAAAGGAACUCAGAUGUUCAAGUGAGCCAAUUAAGGAUACGGAUUUUACUACUGCCAGAAUAGUGCAGUAAGUGUUGUGCCAUCAGUGGUUGGGGUAAGCUCAGUUACAUCCUGCUGAGUGUGGUUGCUGUGAGGGCACGUGCAGUAUCCUCAAACUGUUGAAGGGGCAGGAUUGCUGUGGGGUUAUCACUUGGUUAGUUAAUUUGGAGGACCGUGCUUUUCCCUAGAGAUUGAUACUAAAAAAUCCAGUUAUGCAGACCCGUACAAUAGUUUAUGUGAGAAAGGAAUCUCUGGGCAUCUUCUUUCCAGCCCCUGCUCACAGCAGGUGUGUGGUUUUGCAUGUUGUCGUUAUCUCACCUGCAUGUGAUCGUGAUGAUUUAUGCAAGAAAGAUUAAUUAAUCAGAACUUUUUUUGUGUGUGCAUGUGUAGACAAGAGGCAAGUGCCAAAGAGGGGUACAAACUGAGUCCAAAGUGUUUUACAGAGGUGGUGGAGAUGGCAUUGAAGUGCCACCAAAAAUCCCACCCCACUUAACACGUAUGAGUGCUCAUACAGAAGGCAAACAUCGCUCUGGGGUAGCACAAGGGACCUAAUUGGAACAUUUGUAACUUAAUUUUAAAUCGUUGUUGUCAUUGUGGGUUAAUAUACUGAAGGAAUCAGUAAAUAUGCUGAAGAAAUUGGUAGGUAGUAAAAACGAAGGCUAUACAACAGUUUAUAGCCAGUGGUUCUGUUUAGGCUUAAUCCCCGUAAUGCCGUGUUAAAAUUUACAAAACAGCUUGUAAUUGCAGGAGCUUAUUUAAACCAGCUAUUUGUGGUUAUGUCUGCUGAGGAAACUUAAACUUCAGCGUUCCCCAGCCAUCUAAUAGCAGCAAAUUGACUGCGGGUCUCUUGUAAGAAUAUCUAAAUGUAGGCUGUUGAAUAAUCCCUUUGGGGGCCCUGUAACUAUUUUUGUGCCUGGAUAUGCGUCAUCAGUGGGUAUUUUCUCUGGUGACUAGCUUACAUCAGUAGGUCUCCUACCAUACACUCUAUCAGCAAGUGACUUAUGAUUGAUGGGAGUCACGGCCGCGCUUGGGCAUUUAUCUGUGACCUCAAAUAAUGGACAACGGGAAUCUCCACGCUGUUAAAUCCCUUCGAUGACGGGAGGUACGGGCUGCCCGUGCUGGGCGAUGCAGGUACUGCCCUGGCACCGCUCGGGGCCGAGGCGGGGAGGGAGAAGCAGGGCUGCCGCGGUACUCCGGGGCUGGGUGGUGAUGCUGCUCCAGGCUGGGGGCAGUGCUGCUCUGGGGGGCGACGCCGAUCUGUGCUGGGGGUGAAUCUGCUGCAUCUCGCAGCCCCGCAGAGGGAAGCGCGGUGAAGCUGGGCUGCAGUGCUGGGAGCUGGGCUGCAGCACGGCAGCGCGCUGAACGCAAACAGGUCCGGGGCUUCAUCACGGGGCUGUCUCGCCUUAAAUCUCAAGGUGUGGCGGACGAUGCGGGUUUAAGGUUAAGUUGCACCUGCCCCAGUGACCUGCCGAGCACGUGGUCGUGGUUUGUUUCCUGCUGAUAAAUGCUUCACGUUGUGAAGAGGAAGAAUGCAGACAGAAGUUACCUCCGUUUCUCCUUUCUCUCUGCUUCUCUGUUGAAAUGUGACAUGGGAAAUGAGGCUGCGAGACAGGCGUGAGAUCUCUGAGCGCUACCUGUGAUGAAUUCAGCGGCUUGAGCCAGUCCCAAAGCGAGGCGCUUUGCAAUUUCUUCUUCUUUUUCUCCUGCAGUUUCCUAGUGCUUUCGUUACAGCUGUGAUGGGAAAUACAACAUCAGCUCUUUGUGAACUUUAGCUCCGAAGUCACUCCAGUCCUUCUCCUGGCAACCAGAGAAUAAAACUGACAGAUAGGGAUGCUCUCAGUGUGAUGGACGAUUCAAAAGCCCCCAGUGUUGUUUAUCACGUGGCAUUGCUUGGCUGAGGGAGGAUAGUGACUGGAUCAGAAUUCCUCCUCACCGUGUCUUCCUGUUGGCAGUUGGCCCUCUGCAUAGCCUGUGCUUUCAGAGCCUCACGCUGCUCUCACGUGUUUUACUGCCUGCUAUUGUUUCUCACCCAGGUGCACGUCUGUUGUGCAAGGCGUUGAGACCUAAAAACUUUCAGAGGGAAAAGGGGAACUGCGUUUUGACUUGUCUGUGUGUCAUCUCCUCCCCACACAUUGCCCCAGCCACUGUAGUUAAUGAAUGAAACCAGGCUUCCUGUAGGAGCCACUUCAUCGAGGGCUGUGCGUCUGUUGACACAGCACUUCUAUAAAGCUGCCUUUAGAAUCAAUGUAUGUUCUUCAGUAUUGUGGAUGCCCUCGCUCUGUGGGACGUAUCUUAUACGUACCUGAUCAUUCCUUCCAGGCAGAUGCCUCUCCUACAGCAUAGGCACUGGGUCUGAAUCGAGUUUCCUUAUCUUUCCUCUGACUGGUGAGCAUUUGCUAAGAAUUGCAUUCAACAGAGAAGUUGUAGGAAGAGAAAUGGCGUGUAUGAAGCGACUUGGAAAAUCAAGGGAGAGGAAGGAAUGUAAAGGUUUUCAUUGAAACAUCAUUUCAUUUGCCUCUAUUUUUUUUCCUGUCACUUCAGUAAGACUUUGUGAUUCAUGACAAACUGGUUAUAUAAUUCAAAAUCUGUAAAAGGUUAAGCACAACAAGCAUGAUGAAUCUUGUCUCAUUUGCAUUGCAAUUCAUUGAUUCUUCCUCAAGUACCAUGCUUAGAAAAUGUAAAGCUUUGUAACCAGCUGAUGUUAUAGAUAUUCUUUGCCACAGCUUUCUAGGAAUCAUUAUAGACAGGAACACAUUAGCAUCUUUUGGCUAAUACUGACCACAUUUCUCCCAUUUCUGUGAGGAUUGUGUGUUAAGUUAGUGAAAAUAUUUUUAGGUAGCUUCCACUUACAGUGCUCGUGCAAAAUCUUGGUAUCACCAAAUUUCAAGAAAGACCAAUGACGCCGUCAUCUGGAAUUGUUCAGAUCAGGUCGUAGCUUGCUAGGAAGAAGCAUUCACAAGUUGCCCACCUGUUCCUGGUGCUGUGUGCUGGGCUGCUGGGUGAAGUCUACACUGAUUGUUGUCUGGCAGUGUUCAGCAGUGACUCUCCACAUGCUGUGAUGGUGCAUCAUUGGGUACACACGGUGUCUGAGAAUAAUGGCCCUCAGGUGAGCUCAUGCCAGGCGGGUGCCUAGGCUGUGCACCCACGCCCUGUUGACUUAGGUGACUCAAUGCAGGCACGCAGCUCCGCUUGCACAGCACUAACCUGGGAGAGCCUUUGCUGGUUUGGAGGCCACCUUUCCAAGUAUUGACAUAUUUUGGGGGCUAAAAUGGAAACUGGGCCAGGUGCAGGGAUAUCAGAGGCUUUACCAUGAGUGUUUCUGAAUGCGACAGUCAAAGUAAAAGAUGAAAUAAAGCUCACUUCUCUCCUGCCUAGUACAUCUGUGACUGCAUGCUCUUUUCCACUGCUAAGAAGUCUGAUACAUGGUGAGGGUCAUACCAACAACCAAUGAGUAUUAUUGUCAUUUUGUAUUGUUUGGACUCUUAGUGCCUAAAUUCUCCUGGCAGUAAAGAGGUAGCCUGAGUAGAAAGAGCCACAAAACUAAUGCAAAGCUGGCCUUGCUCAUGACCCUCCCUUCUGACAGGAGGACUUUCAUGAAGAGUGACUGCAUGGAGCAGGCAGCGCUGCUUGGGUCUUACCAAAUACGUUGCCCUUGGAGAAGAGUUGCUACAGCAAGAUGACUGAACACAGUCAAAGUAUUCUGAAAUAUGAGGCAAAGCAGUGAUUUCACUGCUUCAGGGAACAUAGUGUCUUUGGAUUGUGUUGAAAAUCGUCUUAUAGUCGUAAAUACUUGAUCUCGCAAGAUGGUCUUUCUAUUUCCAUAAACCCCAUUAAAACAACUGAACCAGUUCUUAGAUGCAAAGCAACUCCAGUUUUAGUCAACUUGUGUGGGGAGAAGCUUAGAUGAUAGUUUCUUCAGUUUAUUUUGGGUUUUGUUUCAUGAUUUUUCAGGUGUUGUGGAGGAAACAUGGAUUAGCCAUUGCUUCAUUUUGAUGUUAAUUUGAUUGCAGGGGAAAGGAAGGAGUCACUCCUAAACACUGGUGAUGUUUGUAGUGAGUGGAGUAAUGAAGAGCCAAGAGAAAGAAAAGCGAUGCAGUGAAAGAUUACACGGAAAAUAAUGCAUAAAGAAAAGUUGGAAAAGUGAAAAAAGCGAUUAUUGGUAUUUCAUUUUUUUCCAUUUAAUCUUGAUAAGGUCAAUGAAUAGCCUUCCAUAUGCGUAUAUAUAUAAACACACACAUAUAUACACGUAUAUAUUCUUUUUAGUGGUAAGUCUGUACAAUACUGGAAAUUAAUGGGCUUAGAUAAUGCUGAAGUGCUUCCUGCAUGCUCUGCGUGUGAGGGCCCUGGUACUGAAACCUCUGUCCAUCUGUCCUUCUUCCUAUAAGCAGCCAGCGACUUUCCUAAAACAGUCUGAGAUCCAAGACCAUGCUGUCAGGAACUUGACUGACUUCUAAAUGUUGCUUGGAAUAUAAUUAGUUUGGAAAGAAUGCACACAUUUAUUUGAAUGUGUCGGAGAAAGAAUGAAGAUGCUGCAAGUGAUGUCUGUAUGUGACAGAGGGGAAAGGCACCUUCUUUAUCUUGGUAGCCCGACAGCAACUCCUAUAAAUCAUGGUGAUGUCUUUUCUUUGUCUUCUGUUUUGUUUCCUAUAUAUGCACAGCACUGUAAUUCCUGUAGGAAUUUUGCUUGUGGAAGUAUUUCUCUCAAGUGCCACGAAGUGAGCAUUUUUCAUGCAGGACCUUGCAUUGCUCCAUAAGCUGUGUGCUGCUGGUGACUCAGCCCAGCUGGAGCCAGACGCUGCUCCACAGAUGCAAAGAUGCACACGAAUCCCGAAGUGGCAGCGGGUUAGGGACAGAGUUACUCCGGGUAAAGGGAUUCUGUUCCCUUCCCGUCCAGGUUGAAAUCUUCUCCAGGCAGACCCUGACCUGACCCUUCACAGGGAAUUGUGGCUGACUUUGAAACAAGAGGUAAAAGAGGUGAGAAAGAAAUACUCCACACUGACAUCCUCUGGAGCCUUGAUAAAGUCAGGACAGUGAAGGGGUACUUAAAAAAUAUCCUUAUGAGGGAUUUACUUGGUACUGCAAAUCACUAAUAACGGGAGUGCAGUACAAGGCCCUAAUUCAGGAUUGCUGAGGAGUUUGUCCAAUGUCUGUAGUUUUGUAUCUUGACUUUGUCUUUUGGCUGACUGGCUUUUAGCAUUGAGUUUUCCAGAAACUUAUUUGGCCUUUCUUCUUCUCAAGCCAGUUGCUACCCAAUUGCAAUUGCCAAUUGCAAAUUUUGACUAAAAAAAUGAAAUCCCUUUUCAGAUAGUCACUUUGUUUCUACAAACUCAUUCUAUAGUGGAUGGACUCCGCGAAGCCUUUCUUUUUCUGUACGUAUUUAUACUUCUAGUCAGUGAAGUGAAUGCACAUUUCUGAAGAGAUUUUCUCUUGUAUGCUCCUUUGUGACUGUGUUUGUUCAGGGAUAGAGGAGACAGAAAUGAGUCUGUGAGGUCCUGCCAUCUGCUGUCCCUCCAUUGGGAGGUCAAAUGUCAGCCCACAGCAUGAAACCCCUUGCUUCCUCCAGGGACUUCGAUUUCCAUAUACAAAAGCCAGUCAGAAAUCUGAAAGGUAGAAAUCUGUAAUUUGGGAAUAAGAAAGAAAUGGGGUUAUGGCAACUGGGAGACACAAAGCUCAUUAAGCCCCCUUUGACCAGUGUGCAGGGAGAAGGAGAAGUAACCAGUUUUGUUUAGUGUAACCAAAUUGUGGAGCAUCAUGUUGAGUAAAGAUCCUAGCAGAUCUCCAUUCCCCAUAAAGCUCAGGUCAUGCACUGAUGAAAUGUAGCUUUUCUUUCAGUUAUGAUGAUAGGUUUUUUUUCACCCUCUUGAUUCUUGACCAAGAGUUCUAUUCUCUUUCCACUAGAAAUUUGCUGCUCGUUAUAGAGGGAGCAGGGCUACGAAUCAGAAGAUUGGUCACUCCUGGUAGUUUAUCAUUUUCUACCUUGAUCGUUAUUAGAUUAGAUAUGGUGUUAAAAAUUUCAAAGGCAUGACCACCAAAAAGAGUAUAGCAGUCUCAAAGAGGUGUAAAGGAAUAAAAAGGUGCAAAUGAACAAAAGAAGUAUUAGCUCAAAUACCAGGAAAAAGCUGUUAUGAUACAGGCCCGUUCUCCUGAUGGAAACCAGCCGAGCUGAUGAGUUCAGAAGUGACACGGGUGAAAUAUCGUAGAAUAUACCACCUAAAUUUUUCUCAUUUGGGUAUGAGAUGAUCUAAUAGACUUUGGCCAUUUCCUUUAUCAUCUAAUUUCUGUGAUUCCACGAUCACUUUUAAAAAUGCCAUUCUCUUGCCUGUCUCAUUGCAAACCAGCAUCUUGUUAUUUUUUUUUUCUCCUUUCACCAAAAAAAGGGAGACAUUUGCAGAAAUACAACAUGGUGUUAUUUUGAUGAGUCCAAACAAAUUUUUCAAGGCCAUAUCUCGCCAUUGUUCUGUGGUAAAAGUCCCGUAGUACUCUAUGGGAGACUUGCAUUAAAAUUGUAUUGCUAUGUAUGCUCAGUAUCUACUCUUCAGAGGCCUCAGUGAUAUCCAUGCUCUACUCUCAGAGUUGCCUUUUUCCAGUUCUUUAAAGUUACACUUUGGCUUUACAGGAAAUAAUAAUCAUGCCUACCAUACUGUAACUAAAGUAUUCAGACACAUGAAUCUUUUUCUUGACUUCAUAUAAAAAUGUCAUUCGUAGCUUUAUUUUGUUCUCCUCUGACUAUAAUAUAAACAAGAGUUUAUUAAAGCAUUAGUUUUAAGCUGUGAUUCUUGAGAAUGCAUGGUCUCACAAAAAUAGUAUUGAAACUGCAGGUCAAAACCAUGCAACAGAAAAGUGAAUAAUGAGUCUGUUUUCAUAUGGAUGUUUUUAAAAGUACAGCUUGUAGUUGAACUAGAUGUACUGUUUCUUCCACUGCAGCCAGGAAGCCCUCAUAGGUUUUUGACAGUGCCGCCAAAAAAUUAAUGCUUCAGCUGUUUAAAUGGUAUCAAAAGCUUGUUUGACAAUUGUAAUCUUUUCCAGGAAUUUCCUUUCCCAUUUCCCCCCCCUAUAAAAAUUGAUAACAAGAUGCCUGUAUAGUAGAAAUGGAAAGUCCAAGAUAUGUGACAAAGUAUUGUGUGCUGCUUCCAGCUUUGCUGGACAAGGCACAGAAUCUCCAGGGCUGGUAAGAAAACGCAGGCGCUCAGUUGUUUAAGUAGCAUUUGUUCCCAUGUUUAGCUGCUUGCCAAGGCAGUGCAGAUAUUUUAGUGUUUUCUAAGCCAUUUUUGAGAUUUUAUGUAAUGUGGCAACAAACAGCAGAGCUGUUGGAAAUGGCUGGGUAGGAGCUCAGAGCAAUAACCGAGAAAAGACAAGAAUGAAGUAAGGAAGCCAAGAAAUCAUCACCUGUGCCAACAUCAGUUGGUACGGCAGCUCUGAAGGUAAGGAGAUGAGCCUCAGCCUGGCUUCUCCCAAAUUCCUGUCCUCUGCUUUACAUGCAUCAAGGUGUGACAAAGCAAAGUGAGGCACAACUUGAACUUUUGUUCUGACGCAUAUCAGAAAGGCGCUGAAACACGGACUCAAAGGUCAGAACUGUUCCCUUUUCCCUAACGAAUUCCCAAGGCAGCUGUUGAUACUACUCAAUCUUUUAAAGCUAAUCUUUACCAGCUUUUGCUGACACUCAAUAUGAAAUAAAUAGUAUUGUCAUGACUGUUCUUCUCUAAUGAUGGAAGGGAGAUUCCACGCUAAGGAGAGCGAGGCAGAUGGAGAGGUUGCCAAUAAAAAGCCACAGUGUUUGCAGAGGGUGCUGGUGCAUUCAGCAGGCGCCAAUUAGAGAAAUGCUGCUUUAUGGCUAUGACGGGUUAUUGCUGCACAAACACUUGUACAAUUACACAGUGGGUCAGAAGGGCAGCUUACCUCGCCUCACAGCUAUUACUUUAAAGCAAACACAGCUAUCAGGCAUACAAAUAUCACCGAUUGCGGAAGGGGAACAGUGAAGUAAUAAGUGUUUGAAACUGCACACUGAGGAGAAAGAGUGAAUAUAACUAGCCCUGGUGCUGUGGGAAGUAAUUCUUAACCAUGUCUGCACUACAUGGAUUAGAAAAGUCAUCCUUGUAUACCGGAGAAGUGAAUGCUUCCUUCUAUCACUUAAAUCAAGUUAAUAGACCGUUGUGUUGUUCAGGUUCUUGGAAAUGGACUAUUUACUUGAGAAGCUGAGAGUGAGCUAGAAACAUUGAUGAAGCCUCUAUUCUGUGAGGUGGGUAUGCAUUCUUAUUACUAUUUUGCAAAAGCACAGAAGAUUGAAACCACUUGCCCAGGUCCAGACACAGAGCUAUUUAAGAGCUGUGAAUGGAGUCCAGGAAUCUUCUGUCUCAAAACAUGUUCUGGCUGAUCAGUACUUAGGAAUAAGGUCUUCAUGUGCCCUCCUGGUGGAGGAAGUGAUGAGCUCUUGCGUUCUGUUAUCAUUCAAAGUGGUUCUUUCAAUUUUCGAUUUCCGACUAAUAGCAUAAGUGACUCUCACUGAUACUUGUGCAGCCCUGUCCCCCACCCCUGGUGUGCAGCACAUUUAGGUCACAUUUUUGGGAGGCAACAGUCAGUGGAAAUCAGAUGUGUUCACUGGAUCCAGGUCAGACAGUCUGGGGUCCAGAAAUGCUCAGUGCAUUUUGUUCUUUUUUUAUUUUUAUUUUAUCCUUUUGUCGUGGUCAGAUGCACCAGCAGGCUCUUAAUAAAUCCCUUCUGUGUGACUUGCAACUUAGAUUUGCAGACCCACAAGGAGUGGAUGAUUUGAAUAACUGUGAGAAGUGAAACUGAGUGUUUGUAGGUGCAUCCCCAAGCAGCAAAAGCGAUGUGUUGCUGUACUUUUGGUAGCCUUUGUCUUUAUGAUGUGCUGCGUGCAAAACCAUCAGCCCCACCUGCCCCAUGCCAUCGCGUCUCAGAUGCAGAGCCUCUGUGUUUCUGCAUGCUGUUGCCCAGCCUGUCUCAAGGGGCCCCACUCACAAGGGGUUUUGUUCAGGCAGCAGCCCAGAAAAACUCUCUUGGGCUCCUCAGUUAUUCACAGCAGUUUUCCUUUCGGCUUUGUGAGAGAAACCUAGUGAGGAGGCUUCUGCCUUCUGUUGCACUCAAUUGGAAUCCUGGGUCUGCGGUGGCAAGGAGUUAAAAGUCAGGACUGGAAUUUAUCUCCUUAAAGAUUUUGGCUUUUUUCUCUUUAAACCACUCUUUGCCUUUGAAAACCUUUUUUGAAUAAAUCACUCUGAAGCACCAGAAUAUAUAUUGUUAAAAAACAAAUUUAUGUGUGCUAGCAUUUAUCAGUUUGGUGUCUAUUCACAAGUACAUACAGUUAUUUAGCUCUAGGCCCAUAUGGCUCCCAUCUCUGAGCAAAGGGGAGCAGAGUGCUGGGGCACAACCUGAAAGUGGGAGUAGCAGAAAAGCCAUGUUGAACGUGUUUUUCUGUGACAUCAUGGUGGCUCCUCAGGUAUCUCUCAGUUCAUAUGGAAAAAGUAUUAAAAAUAUGACACAGUUUGAUGCUAAUAUUAGCUUCACACUCUUCUCUGAAGAAGGAAUGAAAAUACUCGGAGGACAAGUUGCCUGUGUGCAGAUUUGGCUUCUGGGUAACGUGAGCUAUGCAAAAGCUUUCCCUACUUCAUAAACUUUUCAGUACACAUUAUGGUUGUUAAUUAAUAUUACAUAAUGUUAUGUUUUAAAUCUUUACAUCUGUGCACUUUGUUAAAAUUGAGAUGUUUGGCCUACUUGUUAUCUGCUUAAUAGGGCUGUAAGAAAACUGAGAUGCUUCCACUCUCAGACCUCCCAUUUUGCAAACAUAAGCACCAUUUGUUUUGCUCAGUUCCAGAGCAUUCAAGUUCAAAAUCGAUGAUGAAAUUUUUAAGACCUCAUUUGACUAGAAUUAUGCAAAUCCACUGAUGUACUGUAACAUACCUUGAGACCUAUGGGAGGGAAACUACCUGCUCCUUCUGCCGUGGAGCCCCAGCAGUGAUGCGUGGAAGGAUCACGUUGCCUGUACCACUGCGGUGCGGCCAUUGUCACGGUGUGACUGCCUGCCUCAUGCUGCUCAAAAACACGAGUUGCUUAUUUCACUCCCUAGGCUUGAACUGGCUCCCCACAGUCUCCAAAACUGACAAGUCAUGAUCUAAUGCUAGAUGUUCUAGUUAUUAGUCAAUUAUUUCGUUAUUGGUUGUCAUCGGUUUGGCUUCUGCAGCCAGUGGGUGGGCAGCUAGCUAUUUUCCUUGUGUUGCAGCUCUGGUCAGCAGGGAAGAUAACUGAAAUUGUGACCUCUGGUUUGAAGACUACUUUGGACUUCAGUGCCUAAUCCUGACCCACUAGAAACAGUGUCUGACAUUACAGCUUUCUGUCCUUGUUGGGGCAUUAAGUUACGUUGUCACCAUCAGAGCAGUUAGAUGAGGUGGAUAAACAGAGAAUCAGCUACAGGGGAACAGGAAGCAAAAGCUGGCUGGCAGAAAAUUGAAAACUGCAGCACAUUCUGAAAUAUUUCACCUGUGCUCUAAGCUGGUACAACACCCUGGAAGGCCUUACACAGUAAGACAGCUUGUUUCAGAACACUCUAAAUCUUGCCUCAAUUUUACUUUGCAGAAGGAUAUCAUACUGGUGUACCAAUAUUCCAGCUCUUGUAACUCAUUAAAUUGUAAUUAAUCCAGCAGUACAACUGCUGUUAAAUGUUAGUAUUUCAGAAAACUAUUACUUUCAUAAUGCUUCAUUUAAACCAGGGACAACAUUUAUAUUGUGGUGGAACUUUUAAGUUCUACCAAAGCACUAUGCUUUCCUUUCUGGAAACACUUUCAUUGAGAAACACUAUGGUCAGUUAUGCGGUGUUACAGGUUUUCUUGUUUCUUACUGUAUAGUUUCAAUUUCUGAGAAGGAGGGAGUGUUGUCUUCUUUCACUGCCCACGGGGUCUGUGAACCCCUAGGGUUACACAUUUACAACUGCGGGUGAUUUCAGCCCAGACACGGUUGACUCCAUUUAAGGGAGAAUAUUUACAACCAAAUGGUCUCAGGAAUAAAAAUGCAACUCUUCACGUGCACAGUUUUGCCAGGGCAGGACUUGCACAUGCUCCUAGAUGAGAACCAAAAGCUUUGAAUUCAGCUUGCAGAGAGGAAGGAAUUUGUCUGUGCUGCAGCAAAAGGAAGUAUUUGCUGUGUUAUUGUAGCACAUGGCCUUUUGCCAUCCUUGAUAAAGCAAUCCAGGGCUGUGCACCCAAAGUCUGCUGCCCUCAUGACCUUCCAUCAAUCACCAGCUGCGUGCAGGCUGGAUGCAGUGCCGGCUCCAGAGGUGAUCCAUUGUUCGCUCUGAAAGCGGGAAGUGCAGACAAAGCAGCCCCUUGCAAUCCCCUGCUGCAGCUCUGCGGGGCUGCUCCAUGUGCACCUCUGCUGACUGGGGGUGGGGGUGUCAGCCAUGGGGGUGCAGACUAGCUGCCUGGGACAGGCCUCAGGGAUGGUUUUUCCACAACAAAAAGGAAAACUGGAGUCAAUAUUGUAUCGCUGCACCUUGGUUAUGUACUUAAACUUACUUCCUUCUUGACUGUUCAGCACUGCUUGUAGGUGAGGCUUAAAACGUGGAAUUCGCACACUCUGAAUGGCCCAGUCUCCUUGUUUUUUUCUCCCUUCAAGCAGUACUGGUUACAGAUAUGCCAGCAUUGUUGGUAAGCAUGCUGAGAAUCAUGGAAUCAUAGGAUCAUUAAGGUUGGAAAAGACCUCUAAGAUCAUGAAGUCCAACCAGCAACCAUCACCACCAUGCCCACUAACCAUGUCCCUCAGUGCCAUAUCUCUAUGCUUUUUGAAAACUUUUGGAGCUGGUGACUGCAGCACCUCCCUGGGCAGCCUGUGCCAAUGACUCACUGCUCCUUCUGAGAAGAAAUUUUUCCUAAUAUCCAACAUGAACCUCCCCUGGCCCAACUUGAAGCCAUUCCCUCUAGUCCUAUCAUUGUUACCGGGGAGAAGAGCCUAAACCCCACCUGGCAGUACAAAAUAUUUUCACACACACAUUGCUGUCUCUUCACCAGGGUCUGCUUGUGGCGUUGUGAAAUCUGUGAUCUUUGUCAAUUUGCCUGUGCUAGCUGAGAUAUUGUGGAAAGUUUCAGCCUCUUGCAAGCUUUAACAGUGACUGCAUUGUGAUAAAACGAGAAUGGAGUUUUAUGAUUUCUUUAAAACAUGGGAAGGGGUCUUUCAUUUUUACAGACACCUUACUUAAGGUACGCCCAUGUCCUUGGCUGACUUCUCUUUGGAACUGGUUUAGGUUCCUGCUGUGAAACCAAGAGAGUUCCCCAGGUGCCAAAAGAAAAAGCUGAGAGGAGCGUAACAGGAUGUUCAGGAGAGAAAGGGAAAAUUGUGCCAGACACUGCAGAUAGCAAAGCUCCCAGCCUUGCAGAUGCCUGGGCUCCAGAAAGGCUUCAGGCUGGAGCACUUUGUGCUGCACUCCAGCUCACGGUAUUUCUUGUUUUUAGCAUACUGUACUGCUCUGUUCCUGUUUAUAAAUCUUGUAAGUGUGCACAUUAAAAAAGUAAUUAAAUUGUCAUUAUAAUUUAUAGUAUGCCUGCAGUCAAUCACCUAAUUAAACAGAAAGAGCAGGGAGGUAGUAGGUUCAUAAGCAUUUAUUAAGUACUGCAGUAUUAAUUAUGCAGGACUUUUGAACCAUGCAAAAGAGGAAAGAAUGGAAACACUGAUCUAAAAAUGCCUUCCAUUGCUGCCCUUCUCAAUUUAACAGCAAGACCUCCCCUCCAGUUAGUAAGACAACACUAAUGCUUUCUUUUUGUUAAUUUUUAAUGAUGUUAUGAUGGAUUUUUUUUUUACAAAAAUCACUUGCAGCAUUUUCUUUUAAUAUUUUUUAAAAGAAUAAUGUCCCUGCAUGGGAUUUUAUCAAUACGCUGGCAGAACUGGAAGAUAUAUCUAAAGCUUGAUUUGGGACAGGUUGUGCAGGAAUGGACUCCCCUGCUCAUUUUUCAACGUGUCGGGAUGGGAGCAGAGCACGCACUAUCUGCUCGGGCAGCCCCCAGAAAUGGGCUGCUGGUUGGUGAGAGUGGGGGCUGAUCCCAACAGAGGUGCUCAGCCAGGAGUGUGGACGGAGGGCACUGUGAUUAUGAGGACUUUACUUUUUCAGUGCGGCCUUUCUCCCACCUCAAGCUGUGAACCAGGGCACAAGUUGGUGGCCAGCACCAGCCUGUAUGUCAGGGCAUGGGGAACAGUUGUGCUUUCCAUUAGUGGGCCUGGCAAACAGGGCUAUCUUCCAUAUAAGUGGACGGGAAGGUGUAGAGACUUACCUGCUUGAACUGUCACUGUCAGUGUGGUGUAACAUACUUGGAGCCUAAUUGCACAUGUAUCACUUUAACUUGGAAUGUAUUAAAUAGCAAUUCAUUGGCAAUGGGUAAGUACAAUGUAUUGUCAACAUCUAGAAUUUGCGCUUGAGUUAUUUGGGAGCUAGAAACCAUUUCAGUAGCUCUUCUUUCUGGAAGAAUUUGCUAUUGGAACGUAAAUCCCUGCUAAAGGCCAUUUCUUUUCACUGUCUUUAUUAAGCUACACUAAAUUGACAGCAAAAAUAGCAAAUAAAUAAAUAAAUAAAAAUUGAGACUGAAAAUUUGCUGUGUAUAAGUUUUUCUUCUAUACAGAAAACAUUAAAUCUAUGUGGCCUUAAGCAGUGCAGUUUUCUGUACCGAGCUGUUUCACUGAAGGCUGAAAAGGUGGGGGAGGGCUGUAUGCCACGCAGGAGUGCAGGCAGGAGAAUUUGCAAUGCUGUGCCCUCGUCCCAUAGACCUGCAGUGACAUGGGCUCGAGUGCCUGGCUGGAGGGAGUUCUGAGGGUAUGAUUUAAUCCAAUGAAAGCAAUAGGUUUUGUUGCUGUUUCAAAAGAUGCAAUUGGGAUUGCCUUUGUAGCAAAGAUAACUUUUUACCUUAUAUGGAGCAAAUCAAAUUAUUGACAGCUCUUGAUCUCAGCACUCCUAAUUACCUUAUAAUGAGCAGUCAUUAUGGUUCAGGUUAGCAAUGCAGCAGCAUUAUAUAAGAAAUGUAACUUGUCAGUUGCCUGGAAGAAAGGAAGAAAGGAAGAAAGAAAGAAAGAAAGAAAGGUAGAAAGAAAGGUAGAAAGAAAACAGUAAUUGUGGCCUAACCAAGGUCUCAGGUGACAUAACAGAAGUAGGUCUAUUUAUGGUAAAUAAGCCAGUCUUCUGAGCUGCAUAUCGGAGACUUAAUGCUUGUCUGUUUGUAUCAGACCUUACAGCUAUUUCUUCAGUACCUAAGUUGCUCAUGCUUUGCUCUUGUUAAGCAUGUUUUCAGCUUUGUGUGCUGGCAGCAGGCAAAGACAGUCCUGGCAGCAAUGUCCUCUGUUUGUUGAAAUGGCCAAAAACAAGAAAAUCCAAACCUUUCUCUUAUUGAUUCUAAAAACAGGUUGGAUGAGUACUGCGUUGGAGCUAUUUGAAGCAAUUGUGGGGUGCAUCUUUGUGAUGCCCUCUGCAAUUUUGUUGUCAAAACAGAGAAAAAAAGUCUUUGAGUAUGAGAAUCUCUUCUCUACAACUUUCCUUAGGCAUGUAUUUUCAUUGGUAAAAAGGAUUUUUUAUGUUACAGGCAAGUAAUUGAUUUGAAGUCCCAAGUUCUGCUUAAAUGCAUGUGUAUUGUGAUGCACCAAAUGAAUUCAGUAUUUUUAAUCCAUACCCAUGGAAAUACUCAUUAGUCCUCAGAUACUCAAACUGAGGCAGGUGUUCUGCUAUGGAUGGAGAAUCUGAACACCUUAAGCCUUUAUGUUUGGAUUGCUCAGAAAUUGCUCCAAGCACAGUAGCCUGACCAUGGUCAGUGUUAGGCACUGGCAGAGUUCUCACAUGCCCGUGAUUUUGGCAAAAGUCUUGCACAUACGCUGUGUGAUUCCAGGCAUUUCAACCAAAGAUUCUGUAAGUGUUGAGCAGGUCACCAGCUUUUUCCAUGUCCUGUCCCUCAUCCACGUUUGGAGCGUGGAGGAAUUCAUAUCCCAUUAAAGUUGUGCCUUUGCCAUGACUGCAGUCUAACUAGGCAUAUCAGAAGCAGCUUGGAAGCAGUUUAGUGUGUACUCGGCAACCUCCGUGUAUUCUGUGAAUAUGCUCAGAUCAUCUUGGUGCUAGUAUACCUUCACUCCUAGCAGCACCAAAUCUCUAAGGGGAGAUGUAUGUUUAUGUAAGGAGGUAAAACUAUUCAAGUCUGGGUGCAUGUUCCCCGGAAUUAUAUAGCACAUCCUGAAGAGCAGCAGUGUUAAGCUCCAGGUAUCUCAUUACUGUGGUUUGUUAUUGGUAUUUUGUUUUGUUUACUAUUGGUUUUGUAUGGGUGAUUUUCUCAAGGUGUUUCUUGGGAGGAUAAUAUUAAAUCUGGAGGAACAAAUACCACAGUAAAGUAGGGAGACAUAAUGUAACUUCAAGCCUCAUAAAAUAAGUAGACUUGGUGCAAACAUUUCAAAUCCUCUUCAGCUCAUAAAAUCAAGAAUCAAAAGUAACCUCAAUUCAUGGGGCUCUUCAGUGAAAUGGAAAGCUCAAACACAAGAUAAAAGAGUAUUUCAGACAUGAAAUCUAGGUACAUUGAGACUGGAAAAACUGUAAUUCAGAGCUACAACUGCACAUAUGCAUCCAAAAGAACUGGGAAGAGUGAAGCAACAUGUCCUCAUGUGUUACUGAAGAUAAAAGGGGAACAAUACUGUGAUUAAACAGCAGCAGAGAACAUUUUGUGUGAAUGUUCAAUAUUGGAAAGGGGUUACUACAAAGUAACAUUUAGGUCAGUGGAGCAAACUGCCUUGGGAGGGUGUGGAAUCUGUUUGGCUAGACUAAAUACACGUCUAUUAAAGAUGAUAGAGGAUAACCCAUUUCGAGUUUGCUUCCAGCCCAAAUGUUUUAUGUUAUUUUUGUUUUCUUCAGGUACCUCUCUUGGAUUUUGGUCAGAUUGGAUUUUUCUUCCAGUUACUAUAUUAAUUGUUACUGACAAAAAAGCCCUCUGUGCUAAGAACACUGUGCAGACUAGAAAUAUUAUCAAGAUUACUUUACACAUUGUAACAGGUGUAACAUGCCAAAUAAUUAUUACAUAAAUUCAGUAGUGUGGUAAUGCUUAUGAAUAAUCUCUUGUAUCCUUAUUAAAAUAUAUUAUGAAUGUUUAGACUGUUUUUAAAAUAUUUUAUUACUUAGCAUGAAACUUUUUUUUUCACAAAAAUUUCUUUCUAUUUCAAAGAUGGGAAAUGUAUGACAUUUUAGAGAAUAAUAUAAUACAGAAAGUGGGACGCACUCUGUGUGCCCAUGACCAUACGAGCUAUGUCUCCUGUCCUAAAAAUAUUCAUCAUAAUCAUAAUUUUCAGAGGAGGGUUUUUGUGACAUACAGGUCAGUAAGUGGACGUAUGUGCACAUUGUAUGUGUGUAAAUGCAUUCCUUUACGGAACAGUGUGGUAGUCUUACUCAACUGUUACUGUAGUCAGUGGGAUUUUUGAUUGAUCCCGGGCACAGAAAACACGAUGGCUUCAUGUUUUGAUCAUGGCUUCAAGCUGCACCAGGGAAGGUUCAGGCUGGACGUUAGGAAAUACUACUACUCUGAAAGAGUGUUUCAGGCACUGGAAUGGGCUGCCCAGGGAGGUGGAGGAGUCACUGACCCUGGAGGUGUUCAAGGGACGUUUGGACAUUGUGUUGAGAGACAUGGUUUAAUGAGAACUAAUGGUGAUGGGUGGAUGGUUGGACUGGGUGAUCCUGUGGGUCUUUUCCAACCUUGAUGAUUCUAUGAUUCUAUGAUUUUUCUAUCUCAGGUUACGUUUUUUUUCAUGACAGUUUAUUGUUCAAAAGCAGGCUGUACUGUUAUUAAAAUUGGCGCAUGGAGGAACACUCACUUUUAUCACUAGAAAAAGUGUAAUGUGUAUGUAACCACCCACAGCAGGAACAAAAUAUUUCUUGUUGGGCUCAAUCCAAGUUUCAUUGACUUUUAUGAUAUUUGGAUCAAGCUUUCUAAUCAUGUUGCUGUAAUGAUCUGCAAACCCACUGGGGACUGCUCCAUGCCAGGACUAGUUGUAAUGAAGUGAUAUGAAAAACAUUGGCACGUAGGUGCAGAAACACAGCUCUGUAGUUCAACUGAUGCAGUUCUUUGAUUUGUCAGAAUGAAAAAGGAAGAAGCUCCAACGCAAAUGAUUCUGUUUACUUAUCACUUUUAAAGCCAAUUUGGAAGUAAUGGGGACCUGGAGUGUUAGUAAGUGAUACUUAGAAAAGCAGUGAGAAGUGCUUUACCCUAUCCUGGGCAGGUGAAGCGUGCUGUGCUGGCUGGCCACUGGCCUUUCCCUGAGGUCUGUCAGUUCUACUCAUCUCCUGUUAAGCAGUCUUGAUAGAAUAAUAGCUUGUUUUCUUUAUGUUUUUGUUUUUAUUUUUAAUCAUUUUAGAAGUGAUCUCAAGUGAUCAUUUUGGUGAUGUCAAAGGUUCUGGAAUGGCACAUAACAGUUUGGGAGGAAUUGACCGCAUUUUAAUAUAUCUGUUCACAUUUCCUGAAUCAGAAUCUGUGGUAUUCAUCUCUGGAAACAAUGAAGUGGGAAUUUGAAUAACUCUUUGGAGAUGUAGAAUUCAUUAGGGGUCUUUUUUGUCCUUUUUUUUUUCUUCAACUCAUCUUCUUUCUUAGUCUUUAUUUGUGUCUGAGUUUCUGAAAUGAUUGCUAUUGUUUGUUCUGCCUUUUUUUUUUCCCCCUCUUGAGAGGCCUUUAACUUGAUUUCUUAUGUUUCUUAGUGGUGGCAUUAUGUUUUCCUGGCAGAAACACUUCUGCUGUUUAACAUGUCGACAGUGCUGUCUGAAAGUAUUUUUGGUCCCAUGCUCUUUCUUGGAUCCUCUCCUAGGGCAGUUUUUCUUCAGUUGGACUUUCCACAGUCAGUGUGGCCUCUUACCAUUUUCCUGUUUUCUAUUAAUUUUUGAGCAGAAGCCCUAGUGCCGAAUGAAACUUGGAGGUUUUAAGGGGACAAGUCGUGGUGAAAUUGCCACCUUGCAGUCUUUAGUCUUUUGACUGCAGCUGCACUAAACUUCUGCUGAACACAGCAGAGAGAGCAAAGACAGCUUAAAGCCAGAUUUUCAAUGGAUGUCAAUGUGAUUUGGCCACUUGACUCUUGAACAGAGACAUGAAUAAACUCAGAGGAGGCUCUGUUCAUGUGCAUUGCCAUUUAUAUUUCAAAGGUAAAUAAUUUUCUAAUUUAAAAUAUAUUGUUUUUAGUGACAUUUUGGGGGAUGUGAAAAGUAGUUUUGUUGUCUUGGCCAUUAAAAAAGAAUAUCAGAGUGGCACCUUGACCACAUCAACGUUAUUGAGUCUUGAAAAUUCAGGAUAUAAUCUGUAUAUCUUCCUUAAAGCAAGGAGUCUACUGUCGAGUACCACGUAAUUAUUAUUUAGAGCUCUUAAGUCUGGGAGGGUUCCUGUCAAGUUUACUUUUUCAGUUUGCACAGUAAUGAUACAGAAUUUCAAAUUUUCCAUCAUGCCUUUUCUUCAUCUCUUCAUCUAUGCUGCAGAUCUUGGAUAAUGGACAGGUAUUGCCUUCACGUGGUGCUGUAAAGGUUGAAGAUGACACUGCCCAUGAAUAAUCACUGCUAACUAGCUAACCAUUCUACUUGUUGAAAGAGUUUUGAAAGUGAUCUGUUUCUUACUGCAGGCAUAGCCAUCUGGGUUGGCUUCAGUGGCUGUUGAAGGUCAGUGGAGUGCUCACACUGACUGAAAUAGUAAGCAUGAGCCUUCAGUCAGGCAGGAGCAAAUGGAGACAGGACCAUCUUCAGCUUCUACAGCUAGGGGAAGAAGAGGUCUACUGUCAUAAGUCACAGUUUACCCUUUUUUUUUUAAAAAAAAAAAAGAACAAAAACAUAGAUCCAGUAGUUUUCCUUUAAAUGAGACAUGCUGCAAUAGAUCAGAUAGCUACAAGCUUCUAUAUUUUGUGUUUUCCUACAUGAUGCUCUGCAGAAUUGGUUGAAGUCCAUAAGUGAAAACAUGCCAGAACCCGUUGCAUUACUGUAUUUGCAGGAGCUUCCCACUGUCAUCCAAAAACUAGUAUUUUAUCUGAGAUAAUUCUCCAAGUUGUUCCCUGUAUUUUUGAGAGCUGCAGUGUCCUCAGAGAGGACUGCAUCAGGACCAUUGGUGGUUAUUUCUAGGUCCUCAAUGUUCAGCCUCUUGCUGUUUUAAUCCUAAACCUUAAAGCUUCCUGUCCAUAGAAACCAUAGUCGCCUGGAGUAGGUCCAGCCUUCCAGUAAUAUGUACUGCAUUCCUUGCAAAGAAAUUAGAUAAUUUGGAACGGGCAAGGACCACAGCUCUAGACAUUGUCAGACUAAAGGCAGGAGAGCCCUUUUACCAGUCUGCAAGCGAUAUAUGAAUGCCCUGCCAGAUCCCUCAUGAAUCUUCAUUUCUCAAGGGCAUGUUAAAGUCACUGCCCGUUCUCUUACAAAGAUUAUAGAUGACGGCAUUAAAAUCUUAAAUCACUUGGGUGAUUGUGAACAGUAGAACAUACCACAUAGCACUCCUGGAAAAUAUCUUUUCAGACAGCUCCUGAAAGCAGAUCCACGUGAUAAUUCCUUGAAAAUACAUCUUAGGUCAGCUGUAUUUUUCAUCAUCAUGGUGAAUGUGGUUCUAUCUUUAAGUAUGAUCCCAGGCACUUGGUUUGGUGCAGUUUUUCCUGUCAGGGUGGGAUAAGUAUGCUCAGCCUGACUCUCCAUUCCUGCCCAGAACGCUGCAGCAGGUGACUGCUGACUUUUCACUCCAGGCGGAUGAGGAACGUGCCUGUUACACAGACUUGUGCUGACAUAACUGUCUUGACCGAAGGUGUAAAGAGGCUUGAUCCUUGAUGCGAUCCCUGACUGACACAGAAGCUCUCACUGUGGAGACACUUAUGACAAACCUCUACUUUUAUGGAUACACUUUUUACCUGCUGGAUAAGGAAAGAGGAACCUUAGGAAAAAGCUAUGCUAGCAAAUAAUACAAUUUUGCUAGUACGAAUGAAGCCUGUGCUGGGGACACGCUAUCAAUACAGUUUGCUAGGACAGCUGCAACAGUGGAGAGAUCCUAUUCUGGAUACAGCCUUGUCUUCUGUUCCAGUUUGUCGUGCAUGAUUUAUCUUUCUGUCACCUCUCCAGGUCCCUAGACACCUCUCUGCGUAAAAAGAAAUUAAAACACAAUACAUAUGAGUCUGCUCUGUAUUGGAGUCUUGACCUUUAAUAUAUCAGGUUUUCAUAUUGCAGCUUUGCCAGCAAAUAGGCUGUCCUACAAGAGCUGAGGUUGCUGUAGUGAUCUGUAGAGGUCCCACCUCAGCCGCGCUUCAGCUUUAUUUGCUACAAACUCUCAGGCUGCCUGGAAUGCCUUUGAAAGGAGAUGAGGUUUUCAGAUUGCCUGGGAGAUCAUAACCAGGAGCUUCAGCAAUCCAAUGAGGAAAAAAAACUCUAUCAUCAAAAAUCUGAGAAAGCAGCCUGACAACCCCGGUGUCAAAAGGAUUGCUUAAUGCUUUAUCCUGCUAUAUGAGUUGAAUUUUUAUCAUAUUAAUAAUUUUUGGUGUUCCCUUCUCUCUGCCAGUGCUGUCAUUACAUUUUCCUUUUGUUAGUAAAGAAAGGAAUGAAAAGGUCUGCCUCUGGCUCCGAUCUUGUGGCUGCGCUCCCGCUGAGCAGGCUGGCGUGUCACUGAUGGCAGGCUUGCAGUUAGGCUCCCCAGAUCAAUAAGCCAUCUUAGUUAGUUGGUGAGCAUAUCAGAUGUGAAUUUUAAAAGUCCACAGUCACACUUACAAUACCACAGAAGCCAAAACCUGAUGUAAUUUUUAAGAAGGAUCGGAAUCCUUAAGAGGCUCUAUUUUUCACUCAUAAACCAAGCAGCAUUACCUUCUGACCAGCGCGCUGUUUGAUGAGGUUUUAGUCUCCUGUUUCUCUCUGCAGCUAUUGGGGAUCAUUGUUUCUUCUCUCCAAGAGACAGACAACUGUGUCUUUUAAAAAACAAAACAAUUGUGUCAACAGAUGGGAGAGAAAGUGCUGUGUCUGAAAUAGGAAUAAACCAUGUUAAAAAUAGGUAGUCUUGCCAGCAUUGUUUCUUGAGCCAAUGUGGAAAUCCUUCUUUCCCAUACUAGCAUGCUAUCAAAACUACUAAAACCAUGCUAGAAAAACUGCCAAAUUAGUCUAUAAAACAUUGGUAGAAUAAUAACAACCUUUUUCCUGUGUAAUUCUAACAGUCAAGCUAGUAAAGGAGAGUGACUGGCAGAGUUGUACUGCCAAGGGAGAGCUCCGAACAAUACCUUUCAUUGACCCCUGGCCAGCAGCAACUAAAAUACAGCUCUGGUAGUUGUGGACAUAGAUUUUAAUGAGGUGACCCUCUGUGCUCCCCAGCUGUACUAGAACAACUGUGUAAUGAGGAACCAGGGGGUGUCAGAGGCUUUCCCUUUCUUAGAUGCGUAGUUUUGCUCCUAGGUGUGGAGGGAAAUAAUUUUCCUGUCCCACCAACUGUCUGGGGAGAAUCCAUGGCAGUUUUGUUGACAAGAAAACUCCUGCCUCCCCAGAAUAGGAAAGCAGGAUGAACCGUUCUUAAACAUGUUUGCUACUGGCAGAAUUACAGCUGCAGUUUAGACAUUGCAUUUCUACUUUCCAUCUGUUGUCUCGCUUAUUUUUUCAGUCUCUCUCCUUGCUUUCAGUUGUUUUCUCUAUGUCUCAGUUUAUCCAGUUUUCAGGGCUGGCUGUCCAUUUCAGCAUUAUUGCUGUCCUAAUGGGUGUAAGAGGAGCAGAGAAGCUCUUCAAGAAAUGAUUUUUUUUUAAUUCCACAAUGCUUUUCUGCUUUGUUUGUUUUGGUUUUGUUUGUGCUUUAUGCUCUAUGUUGUGUCAUCUCAAAAGAGAGAUGUUUGCAUAAUGUGUCUUUUGCUGUGGUAGUUUAAUUCCUGCAAACUUUUGUUCUGUAUAUGGCUCACGGUACCCUUGGAGGAGGGAUAAAUUGUAACCUUAAACAGAGAAUGGAUCAGGUCUCUGACCCACUCCAGACCCUUCCAGUAGAGUUUGGGGUCUGGGUUCCUCCAGACUUCUGCCCAGGGAUACAGGAGAAAACAACCUUGGGCAGCAUGAUUUCAGGCAACCCUGUGGCACUGACCUCUGAGAGAGGAUGAAACAGGAAGGUACCUGAGGCCCUUCCAUCUGGGCAGGCGGGCAGCGGCAGGUGAGCAGUACAGCCUGUGACCAAAUACACCUUCCUCAUCAACUGAUACAGCCCCCCUGCUUGCAACAGGCCUUUUUUUUCCCCCAGUUAUCUGCAGUUGAGGAAUGCUCCUGGGGAAUCAUGCUUGCCUGGAAGUUGUCUCUGUUAGAUUAAUGUUUCUUGCUGAGAUUAAAGAAAAUUUAAAGGAAAAGACUUUAGAGACUGCCCAAUUACUUUAUUGCAUCUAGGAGAGACCACAUCCCUUAUCUUAUCAUGUGGUCAUUUUUCUUACUCUUUCCUCCUUGCUAUGUGAGGCAAACGGAAGUAGAGGAGUUAAGUGCCCAUGACCCUGUUCUGAUGGAUAAGGAAACUGCCAGUUCUACGUGAAAACACUACAAGAGUCUUAUCAGCAGUUGUGGAUGCAUGGGAUUUCCUUAUAGUAGCUUGUUAUGUCAUCUUUUCUGCAUCACCUCCUCCUGCCUUUGUGCUUCCCUGUAAUCAGUGGGUAGCAUGCAUGUUUAUCUCUGCUCAAGGAUAUGCCCCACAUGGUUGGUUUUUUCUUUUUUUUUUUUUUAAUUUGUUUUGCUUAAUCAAUCUAUGGAUGAGUUAAAAAGAUUGGUACGUGUGUGAGUGAAUUCAACCUUCUUCCAGCAUGAUGAGCUCCAAGGAAAUCGGGAAGUUUUUCGCUACAUCCAGAGUCUAUGGAAAAAAAAUAAAAAACAUUCAGAAGGAUGCAUGCCACCUAUUCACUUCUAACUUGAGCACAUGCCUUGCUUUGCUGAGCUGGCUUUACUGCUUAGAGAUGGAAUUAAGCGUAUGCCUAAAUGACUUGCUCAGCUGUGACUGAGGUUGCAUAAUUUGUCUGUUCAUUUUCCUGGAGCUUUCCUAUUGAAUUCAGGAAUCAGGCCAUGGCAACGGAGAGGUGAUGCAGUCGUAAUUGGCAGGAUAUGCCAAUUAGAACUUAUUCUUUUGGUAUUGUAAAGUGAGGCUCUGUGUUUUCAUUACAGCCAGUUUCAAGUUAUGCUCUUGAAUUCUAGUCAAGUCAAUAUUGUGUUAUGGCAACAGUACAGCAAAAUAUUUUUGCUUUAACUAUAGGAAUAUACAAAUUUGAUCCCUCAGAGCUUUCCUAUAGCUGCAACCAGGUUAACUGCUGUUGCACUGCCUGAUUUUUCAGGCCAUUUUGUUCUUGUACUGGACAUCAAAGUCAUUAGAAAACAUUCACUGGCAGUACUUAAUAGCAUAUUAAAAAACAACAACAACAACAAAAAAAAACAACAGACAUUUGUGAUGCACCACUAAUCUAUCAGUCAUUUGUUUAAUUCCACUGCUCCACACAUACAGGAGAAUAAAAUAGAAGCAAUUAAAAUGAAAGUGAUUUAAAAAAAAUCCUCAUAAUAAGGCUUUUUUUUUCUGUAACCAGCUCAUUUUCUUUCUCUGAGAGCCCAAUGGUGAUAGCAGAAGGUGAAAAAUUGCAAACAAAAUUAAGGAAAAGUUCAAGUUAGCUGUGGAGCCAGAAGUGUGAUUCAGGAGCUGAAAAUAUCUCUGCGCUUCAUGCAUCAAACUCAAACACUGUGCUCUGACAACGCCCUCUGGAUCAGAAACGGAGUUUGAGGUCAUUCCUCCUCCAGCCUGCCAUGUAUGGAUAGGGCCCACGCUCAUGACAAAUUACUGUCUUACCGGGCACACACCGAGAGUGCAGUGACAUCAGUGCAGAGGGAUCUUGCCUCACAGCAGAGGACCGAGGACUCCACAGCCUUCUUCCUCCUUUAGUCCUGGAGGAACAGUGUGAAGGCACUGGGAAUGAGGACAUUUUAAACAUUCCUUUUCUAGAUGUGGAAGGAACAAGGGAUAGAGAGCACCCACCUCCUUGUAAAGAAGUCAUAUGGCAUCCAGAAGAACUGCUAGCAAAGAUUCUGAUCAGAAGUGUAUUGAUGGCCAGUUCUGAUUUCUAGGAUAAAUGUACAGCUGCCAGUGAUGGUGCUUCACCGUGGAUGCAGACCCGAAAAGAGAGUAGUGCAUCCUUUGUUGUAUGAGCUGGCUUUGCAUCUAGGAGUGCAGUAUCAGAGACUGAUCUGCAUAUACCAGUAUGCCUGGUAUAAAGUCUGUGCUCUGACUUAACACCAGUCUUGCUGAGGUCUUAAAUUUAUUUUGGUAGAGAGUAAUGCUUAGAUUUUGCAGAUAACAACAACCAAAACUCUGAAAGCAGAACCCAAGUCCUUAGAAUUCACAUAUUUUCUCUGCUGACAGAUUUCUCUUGUCCCCAGGCAUCACACUUUCCUGCUGUUUUGUGUGUCUGCUUAGUUGCCAGCUUCUCAGGUGCAAGCGAGCUUUCAUCCCUGACACUUUUUCAUCAAGGUACUUUUGGAGGAAGUUCCCUGUGGUGAUAUUGCUGAAGCCUAUUUGGAUUGCUUAGAGCAUGAGCUUUAUCAGAAAUCCUAUCUUGGGCUCAGUGGAGGCCUGAUGUUUUGGCCUUCCCUGCCCACUCUCAGAGGACCCCUAGAAGUACUCACAUCUUUGUACCAGCUGCCUGGCCAAGCAGUCCUGUUCUUUUGGCAACAGGAGAGCAGACAAAUGGGUUGAGCAACAUGUGUAUGUGGACACAGUGUCAGUUGUCAGCCUGACCAUUGUCUAAAAGCAUCAAGCCUGGUUAGCUGAGGGCACUGAUCUCAGCUGGCAGCGUCUAAACUGCUAUGUGUAGUGAGGUUAUGGACCUAUACUUAGGGGGAUGUGCUCUUGCUAAUUUAGCUCCUGGCUGAAUUGGGAAAAAAAAAGAGUAACCCAAAAUCAUAGUUCCAGUGCUAGCAGCAAAAUAUGAUCCUGCACAUCAUGGGUUCUGGGAAUGAAGGAAGUAAUUUAGAGUAGUUCCAAACACUACAUAUAACAUUGCCAAAGAAAUCAGGUGCUUGAUUUUAAUAGAGUGAAUUGCUUAUGGGUGAAUAAACAAAGUUCACAGGUGAUGUUCCAGAAGUUAUUUGGGAUAAUGUAUCUUUUAGGUAAAUUUUGUUCUGAUUGCUAGCUUUCAGGAGAGGCUGAGACACAAUAGAAACAGCAUAUACAUGUGUUAGCAUGCGUGACUAUUUUUAUUUACAUAAUAUGUACACAUAUGCAAGCACACAUACAUGUAAAUUCACAGGCAUAUAAAUUUCAGCAAAUGAAAAAUGUUGCAGAGAUUUCUUGGUGCUCUUUGUGUCUGGAUCUGCAGCGUGGUGCUAGCAAAAUACCAACAAAGCUGUGAAGAAACAAAAUUUUAAUAGACUAUCAUAAUCCUAUUGCAAUAAAUAAAUAAAUAAAUAAAAAUUAAAAAUAAAAAAAUAAACUUUCUGUUUCAAUGAUGAAGAUGAAAACAUUUACAGCACAGGAAAAAAUUAUUAAAAAAAAAAAUCAUCCCUUUAAAUUUGGAGGUAGCUCAAGAUUUGAUCCAUAAAUUUCAGCAAACUGCUUGUAGUUGCCAGAGCUGCCAGAAUGACUUGGAAUUAAGAGGGAAAAGGUAGAGUACUCACAGAUGAUUUGUGUGAACACGUAAAGUGAGAACACCAGUAUAGUAAUGGGAAACAUUUUCUUUCACUUUUUCCAAGUUUGAUUGCAUGUAGUAUGGUUGCAUUUGGGUUUGAACGAUGUUACUUAGGUGGUUGUGUUCUGCCAUUGUUCCUGUUAAGUUAAUUUAAAGCAUGACAUGGCUUUUACCUUCCUCAAGUAGGGAGAUAUUUUUACUUCCAGUCUUAGCUGCUGUAGCUUUCGAAUUGUGUGUUUAAUAAAUUGUGCUUUGUUUAGGGAAUGGUAACUGUAAAAUAUUGCCUGUUCAGAGAGUAAGUACUGAGAUGGAGAUUGAUGUCUUUCUGGAGCUUAAUGCAUCACAGUGACAGUCAAGCAAAUUUUAGACUUCUCACUCCUCCCACUAAGAACUGUAAUCUCUGAACUUUGUGUUCGAAAAGGAGAAAGAGGGCAAAGAGAUCAUUACAAAGUCCACACAGACUGUUUCACAUAUCUGAAGGGGGGUUGAACCCAUGUAAAAAAGGGGGAGGUUUGUGUAUUGCCUUAGUUCUGUGAGUUACAAGAAAUGAGUUAGAGCUCUGGGAUGGCAAGCUACAGAUGUGUACAAGAAAAGUGUUUUUCUACCCAAGUUGUGUGGAUCUUCCUUGAUUUGAAUUAUCUUAUGCCAUCUGGGAACCUGGCUGCAAUUUAAAUAGUGUCUGGCUUUCUGAUAGACGUGGUCAAACGGAGUUGUUAGGUGAAUUCCCUUCCAAUGAUAAGAUACAGUCUGCUGGAAUGAUACCUGCUGCAAGCAAGUUAAGGAGUAACGCAGGCAAGGCUUUAUUUGCCCUUUGUACUCUUGAGAAAAUUUUACCCAUUUAUUGUGCUAUUUCAAAGCCUUAGAUUAAUUAGCAGCAGAAUAAAUAUUUGCCAGUUGUUUUCCUUAAACUUUAGUUUCUCAUUAAAGUACACAUGAGAUUCCUGGUACUUUUUUUAGUCUUGUGAAGUGCACAGGAAUCUUCCUCUGGUACCCCCUCAACUAAUGUAAUAGCGACAGUGUAACAGAUAGAUAAGAACUAAUACAAAACAGAGUUCUUGUUGAUCAGUGAAAUGUAUUUACCUUUAUGGUCAGAUGAUAACAAUGCCUACUGCUACAUUUUAAUUUCACUGCUAAACAUGUAGCUGUACAAUCAUAAGAUAACUACUGAAACUGCUAAGGGAGAGUCUAGUACUCUUCAAAAGCAAAGGGUAGGAGUAAUCAUCAGAGUACCUCCAUUUUCAUGUUUUCAGGUCCAGUGUAAAAAGGACUCAUCCUUGAGAGUAUAAGCUACAAAGCUCAAAUUGGAAAAAGUCUUCCUAGUCAUGCCGUGUUUCUCAUACUCUCAUUCCCCUUCUGAUGCACUUGUUUAACUUAGUCUCCAUGGCUGGCAAACAACAGCAGUAGAUUAAAACAGUCUUGACCAGAUAUGUCCAAAUGCUAGCAAAUGAUGUGCAGUGGUUGUUGCACUGCUGCCUUUCUUUGGUGGGUAGUUGUUAAAGGAAUGUUUUCUUUCACUUCCAAAUAACCCAAUAUUGCACAAGUUUUUACUAACUUGAUGAUAAAAACAAAUUAAAAGUUCUGGGUUUAGUAUCGCAACAAAGCCUCUGGAAGCUUUAAUUGGGUAGUAACAUUCUGUUUGAUGACACUUGCAUUAUCUGGGGUUGUUAAAGGCAUUGUAGGUUAGCUGUUCCCUCCCUCACACUACAUACUGCUUGCAAGCUCAAGCAUUGCUGUAGGGUUGUUGAGUUAGUAAGGAUAUGCAAUAGUACUGAUUAGACAAAAUCAUACCGUCCUUAAACAGAUCUUGCUUUGAAUAAUAUUUAACCUAAUUAUAAGUAAAGGGUAAGCUUUUUAAAUACUCGGAAACUGAUCCAACCUUCACUGAAGUCAGUGGGAGUCUUUCACACUUGGAUCAGAUCCUGGUAUAUCUUUUGAGGAACACUGCUGAAGACAGAGAAGUCUACCUCAUGGGGAAAUACGCUGGCUCCCAUCGGUUAAAAGCUGAUUUUGUAAAUGGCAUAUUUCCCUUGUGAUUUUGUUGUCUUUUAAUGGAAUGCCCCUCUGCUCCUGCUUGGAUUUACCAUAAAUGGCCCCCUUGUCUUUGGGUUGGAGACUGCAUAAACAGAUUUGUAAUAUAUAUUCAUUAAGAACAACUUUGUGCAAGUGUGACCAUUGUCAUUAAAGCCAGUUAGGCCUCUCUGAAAGUGUAAGGUGUGGGGCUGCAUGCUUAGGGGCUGGAGGAUAUCUGUUUAUUACCAGGAGAAGCAAGAUGCAAUUUGGAGCACCCCUAGGUUUUACUGAAGAAUGGGCUAAUAACAACUCAUGGUUUCUUUAUUGCUUUGCUUUCUUUUCUGACAGGAACUUUUCUCAGUCUAGUUGUAAAAAUAGAGAGUGAAAUACUGGCUCUGCUAUAAACAGGGUUUUGCCCUUGAGUCCAGCCUUGCCCUGCUUUCACCCAUAGAUUAAAAGCAUAUUGGGCCCUGUCUGCCCGGAGAUUGAAAAGUGGUUCCUGGCUCUGCAUCCAGAUUAAUUUCCUAGAAAGCUGUAUAUUGAUGUGAUAAAGUGUUAGGGUCUGGAGCCAGAGCAUAUGUUAUUUUAUAUACUCAGAUGCCUAUAUAGACCACUGUUGACACUGCCAGUUAGUAACACAUUAUCAUUUGAUAUUUGUUUUUGUUGCUGAUAGCAAACAUUACAGCAGAAAAUAUAAGCAUAUGCCUUUUCUUACUAACUCAUUCCAGACCUUCCUCAACAUUCACAUUUUGGCACUGUUUCCCUCAGCUCACAUCUGCACUCUGCUGAUGACGAAAUCACGGAGUUAUGAGGCUUCGCCCGUAGCACAUUGGUCAGUCUUUGCCAGUGCACAGGGCAGUGCGGGCAGGCCUUGUGCUCAUGAAAACCUAGAGAGGUUUGCUGCUUGCUUCUGUAGGGAUACGAUUAGGUCAUGGCCAUCAAUCUACAGGUCUAGCUUGCUGAGUUGGGCAUUUUCCUGUCAGAGGCCUCUGUCCAGAAUGUUUGUAAGUCCUCGAGGAAUGGGUAGCUCUCCUGCUGCGGUGACCCAGCUGCCCCAUGAGGGUAGACAGCCAGCAGCGUCAUGUCCAUGCACUGUGGAGCAUGGCAGGGCAAAGGGCAGGAAAAAGACACACAAGAUCUCUCCCUGGGACUAUGUGCCAUCAUGUCACUCUCCAGGAUCUCCCUGAGGGUGCUUUUCUUUCCAGGAGCACAUCCACCCUGGAGUGAGCACCUCACUGCUCAUCCCUGGCACGUAGUUUGCAGUAGCAUUUCAUGUACACGUCUUCAAGGACAUAGGGAGUCCUGGAAGAAAGGAUCCCGAGAAAAAUGUGGCCUGUGGUUAUCUGUGCUUCACAGCUGUUUGAUUAUAUGGUCCCUAGGAGAUCACUGAUGGUGUAUUGUCUCAGUAUUCAUGGGGUGAUCCCACUUUUAGAGCACAGUUCCAGGCAGCAAAGAAGUGGCAUGCGAGAUACUUGCACCGCUCUGAUUCAAAGACAGGAAAAUACUUGUGUUUAAUUAAAAAUACAUCUUAUUAAAAACACAUAUGUUACCAUACUACCAAGGCACUGCCAUACUUUCUAUGCUUAUUCUGCUUGGUGUAUUUGUAUGUCUGAAAGUAAAUCAUUGUAUAUACCUUUUGGUCUAGGUCUUGUGAGUCUAGUUUUCACUUCAGAAUAUUUUUAGUUGACAUGCAUUGUAGAUAACUGCAAGGUGGAAUCCCCAGAACUGAUACUGAUUUCUGGUGUCACAUUGCUCUGAGGGAGAAAUACCUAGGGAGCGAGAAGGACAGUGUCUGGCUCUCUGAAGUUCCUAUUUGUAUUAAUGUAGCCAAUACCAUAGCAAGAUGACUUGGCAAAAGUCCUUAAAAAUCCUUCGUGUUUGUUUUCUAAAUAGGUGGAGGAGAGUGUGGACAGCCGUAUUUGCUGGAGUGGUGAACCAAAUUGCCUUGACUGGAACCAUUAUUCACUUGCACCUUUGACCGCAGCAGACAGGUAGGAGAACAAGGAAAGGAUGGGUUCAAAUGAACUUGGGGAGCAGGCCUCAGUGAAUAUUUUUUUGUUCUCAGAGGGCUUCAACCAGAAGUCAUUCACACUUAAAUAGUAACUGAUUACAUGUCCUUUUGUCACCUCUUGGUGAAACCAGAGGCAUCUCUCUUUCUGGAAAGGUUAUGUUUUUAUUAAUUCAGAAGUGCUGUCUUUGCUUUGACCAUAUAUUUGGUUUGCCACUUUCCCUUCUUUGUGCAGUUCUUGCUUCAAGAGUCCAAGGAGCACGCUUUUUGAAAGAAUAGGCAGAAAAAUGUACUUGUCUAAAAUAAAAGAAAAAAAUGGUGGAUGAGGUUUUGAUAUCUGAAAGAGGUAUUGUGGUUUCUUUUUUUUUUUUUUAAUUAUUAUUUAAUUUUUAAAUGGCCUUGAAUUAUAAUCUGGUGAUCUGUUUGGAUCAUCUCACCAUUUCAAGUGCGCCAUUGAUGAUACUGUGAUUAAGGUUUCUUUUUUUCCUCUGGGUCUUGAACACGUGGGUUCAUGCAAACUACAGUUGUGAAAAUGAUGACAGUGUAGUAUCACAAUACUCAAGUUAGCUUACAGUUAGCUGAUUCUCCGUAGCAGUUAUCUAUGACAUUAUAGACUACAGAGGCCAGUGUAUGCUGUCCGGAAAAGCUCUGUGUUCUGCUGCUCAUUGCAGCUCCAUGUUUGAGUUGGUAGUUACAGGUUGGACAGGUUUCACAUAAGCUUUGUCUCAGGGCCUGUACCAUAAAGGCAGAGUUACUUUGUUGCAAUACUGAGAAUCUCCUCUUCUUUAAUCUUCUGUGUACUGGCACAUCCUUGGUGUUCAGAGAGUUAUGUUAGCCUUCUGAAUUUAACAUGACUGACUUAAAAUAGUGAAAAGUUAGGAAAAUAUUUCAUCCUUCUCAUUGGCCCUCUCUGUUUUACAUUUUUUACCAUUUAUAUGUAACCCCGAGAGCUAGACAUGUACAGAAGACAUCAGAUGUUCUCAUGCUAUAUGAUGAUCUCAGGAGAAGGUGUUUAAAGAAAACGCAUAGUGUAUUUUGACAUAAAACUCUAUUGUUUUUUCAGAACUGUAAAUGGGAUUGGACCUAUAUUUCAUUCUGUAUGAACUGAAGGAGGGAGUGGAGGGGGUUAAAUUGAAAUGGGCUUAAACCUUUUCUCAUACCUGGAACUGGUCCCAAAUAUUCCACAGUCCGCAGUGGUGCUAUAUGGGAUAUUUCUUCCUUUGGAUCCACAUCAAAGUUGUGUCAAUCUGCAUCGCUCUAUUUCCCCUCUGCAGUCUCUGAGAGCUGAGACAUCUUCCCAUGUAGCCUAGGAUCAGAGCUGGAUGAGAAGAGUGUUACCAGGGAACAUGCUGGCAAAAGCAAUUCAUUGUCCUCGCCUGUAGAAUUUACAGUGAAAGUUCAGCAGGGAAGCAAACUGUCCUGAUGCACCCCCGUGCUCUGCUCCCAGAUUGGGAAGCAUUAAUAGUGUGUGAAAUUUAUAAGAAGGAGUUUUGGAAUACUGCAGUAUGAAAAACUAGCCAUGUCCCAACUCACCAGGCAAGAUUUAAGUGUAAAACUGAGAACUUUGGUGCCCAUCCUCUAAAAUGGGCUUCGAGCAUUGAUUCUUCAGGUUUCAUUAGUGUGUAACGUAAUGGUACUUCUACGCAUUGGGCCCUUGUUGCUGUGGCUCUCCUGUAUGCUGAAAAUUCCCCUUAUAAUGUGUCAGCCUAGUAAUGGUCUUUACUUUUUCAUUUGGGACUGCUAAACUUUAGAAUAAAUGCUCUCAAUUAACAUAAGUCAGAUAAAUGUUAUUGUAACUGUGACAGUACAUAUCACUACCGUGUGUGCUAAGGACAUUAAAGCCAGCACUUAAUACUGGAAGAGUAGUAAAUAUGCUGUAUGAGCUAAUGGACGGAUCACAUUAAGAAACUGAAGCCUAUAUUGCCUGCUUUAUGAGUGUGAACUUGCAGUUUGAUCCCACUGCUAGAUGCAGGGCGAUAGGAAGGCGCGUUUCCCCUGAAGACAGGAGCACGCAAUGCUGCCAAACCAGCAGUCCCGGGUGCCCUGCAGGGUAUGAUUCUUGCAGCAGAGAGCGAUUGCACAAGCUGUGAUGUGCAGGACUAGCUGCUCUAUUUUGGCUGAGAAUCCUUUGAGGAUAUUGGUCCCGAUUCCCUACUGUCUGAAACCUUUUGCUAUUUAUACCUGGGUAAAGUGAAUGCCUGGCGAGCAUAAAAUGCCACUACGCUAGUGCUAAAGGAGCUGUUAUCCACUUUGCCCAAAUAUAAAUGACUAUGCAAAAGGUGAAGCAAGUUCAAGGUCUCUCUUUUUGUUAUAGCAUUACCCCUAGAUCCUGCUGCUCGUGGCUGAAUGUGUGAACAGGAGGCUGUGCUUCAGUGGUGGUGGUUUCAGCUCAAGACGUGCAAAUGCAGCGAGAAAGAAGAACACUCAUUUCUUUUCCCACUAUUAGUCAGAGAGAAAAACACGUUUCUUCUUCCCUGAGAAGAGUACAGGGGCAACACAUUUAUUUGCCAGUUUUCUGACAGUCUGAGGUAGAAGAAAGAUACUUGAAAACAUCUGGCAGAGGCAGAAAUGGACACUAUGACUUGCAGUCUCCCUGCACUCGAUAGUGGGUAGUGUAUUAACAUGCCGCGCAUUGGAGAGACACAGUCCUUGAAAUCCUCUGACACUGCAAGCUACUGCUUUUAAACUAGAACAGAGACAGAUAAGGAUAUUGUGAAGGAGAAAUCCAGCAUUGCAUAUUGUAAAACUGAAUCCUUAAAAAAAAAUUUGGUACUUUUGGCAGUGUUUCAUUUAUUGUAAAUAGAAUCCAUAUAUAUUCAUAGAUAUUUUCAAUAGAAUGUAGUGUACUGCUGUUUCUGCUAUCUAAGCAAAUAUCUUGCUGGAGUAAUUUAAAAACAGAUCUGUUUCGUAGCCAGCACUGCACCAAUUUAAUAGUAAUACUGACCCGUGUUAGAGAUCCUGAGCCAGAUUUUGACAGCUGUAAACCUGCUGAAAACAAUGAAGACAUUCAUGAGGUUACCUAGCACAGGUAAGGACAUCGGAAUCUGGCUCUUUCUGAGUAGAGCUGCUUGUGAAUCGUGUUCUGCCAUGCACACUGCUGUAGAAAGACCAUUUCAAAAAGCAAGGGAUGCAAAUCAUAGGGAAUAACAGGCAUCAUGAAGAAUUCUUCCUCUAUAAUGCCUAGGUAAACCUCCAUUUAUGUGCCUAUCCAGUUUAUUUAAAUAAUCCACUUUUUGCUGCAGAUAGGAUGUCAUAAUGUUGUUAACAUUGAACCACACCUGGUGGGAUUGUUUUUACGUACCUUCUAGUACAUGUAUACACCUUUUCACGUGCACAUUUCCCUCUGUCAUAUCCCGAGAUUACACAUGCAAGGCCCAUAGCUUCAACGCAGACACAGAUUGAGCAACUGCAGCUUUAAAUUUGCUGAUGACAAAUAUGCAGAAUUAAUUUAACGGGGGAUGUGGUGUAGUAAUGCUAAAUGAAACAUUUCAAAACGUAAACAAGAACCUUCUGUGUUACGUAGGUCUUUAAAAGUAAUCCUGUGAAGCUUGCUUCUUGUGGCUGUGCUCUCAUCAGAAAUUUGAAGAAAAUAAGGUUUUGAAAAGUAUUUGAAUAUAUUGAAUAUUUGAAAAUACAUGUUAUCCACUGCAGUGUGCAAAUGUGUGUCAGAGGAUUCUUUUGCUCAUAGAUACUUUGCUAAGUUCUAAGGCUGCAAAGUUUUAGCCAGCUAGGAAUCUCAGAUCUAUGCUAGCAGUUAUCUCCAGAUGGCUGCACUCCAUUUUGUACCAAGCCUUCAGCAUCUCAGUGGCUGCAUGUUUGGAAUUAUGAAGCACACUAUUCCAGUUGUAUUUGCCAGAAAACAUACAGGGCACUGUAUGAUAAGCUAUGACAUGUGGUAUAACUCGAAGAAGAGGUGAGAAAUAAAGUGUGGGGAGAGAAGAGGAAAAAGGGAAAGAGUUGAACAGGAGAGGAAGGAAGACACAGCAAGAGAAGUUUGUCUGUGUAAUGAAUUUGGUCUGACUGGCAAAUACGAUCUGACUUGUGAAUUUAAUUGAAUUUGAUCCAAGAAAGACACAGCUGAGUGAUCUGCAGGAAGAAAUCUUUUCCUAGAAGUAUGCAACUCCAAACUGUAUAAAUUCCUCCACUGAUCCUAAAAUGUCUGUGUACCACUAAGCCUGCAUAACUGGAUACUUCUGAAGAAAAAGUGGUGUGUUGAGAUAUUCAACUGAAGAAUAACAAAAAAAAAAGUCAUUGAAUGUUGAGUAUUGGAAGAAGAAAAAACUAUAUAAUUUCAAGUUGGCCAAUGAAACACGAGUGAUAAGGACAGUUAAUCAUUUCUGGUGCAGCUGUUUCCUGACAUUUCUGCAAAAUGUUGUGGAAAAAUUAAUGAAGGUUCAUUCAGUAGUGGUUUCAAGCUUGGCUAGUGGAAAAUAUGACAGUAUUUCCAUCAUCAAUUAAAAGCAAGCAAUGCUUUUUUUUUUUUCCUUUUUUUUUCUUUUUUUCUUUUUUUUUUUUUUUUCUGUAGGGGAAGUGGUAUGCAGUCUGUACUGCACAGGAAAUUGUAGACUUGAGAGCAGCUGUGUGAUAGCAACAGGUAUGCCGACAAUAUGAAGAAGAGCCUGGGCCCAUUGCUCUUACCACACGUGCUUCAGUGCAGUAGAGCUCUCUCUGCUAGAUACUGGAAAAGACAACUUGCAUAGCAUGACACUAUCUAUCUAGCAUGUGGGUUAUUCCUUCAGACAUCUCGCUGAAAAUAAACGUCCUUCAUGCCACUUCAGUGAAAAAGGAUGUAUCAGUAACGUUUUCAUUGUGACUGUAUUUUAUUACUACAGUGUUCUGAAGGUGCAACUCAUUUUGGUGUAGAGGCAGGAUUUUUUUAACCAAUCUCAGUAAUCUCACUUCAGCAUGUAACAUUUUUGCAGCCAUGCAGCACAUCUUAGUGAGCACGUGUUGUUGCUGUGCUCCUUCUGUGCAGAGCAGUAGUAAACCUGAUGUAACAGGCUCGCCAUUUUGCAAUUUGGAGCAGUGAGGAACCUGCGGAGCUCAUGUGCAGUACAGACAAGGGGCUGUGCAAGCGUGUGAACUCAGUGUGUAGUGUUGCAUAUAGCCAAGAAAGCAUGCAGCUCAGAAACACGAGUGUGGCCUGAGGGCACAUUCAGAACACAGAUCAGCAUAGCUGAAGGUCAGUGUAGCAGCUGAGCAGUGGCCUGUGUCCAUUCCCUCACCUCACAGCCUGCAAUGGCAGGCAGGCAGCUGCUUCUGCCCCAAGCUCCUCCACAUAACUCAGUUUUGGGGUUACUGGAUCACUCUUCUGUUGGAUAGCCUGCAUAGGCCAGAAGGUAAUCGGGAAUCAAGCAAGAUACGCAGUUGUAAGUUGUGAAGAUGAGUCCAAGAUUUCCACCUGAAUUCACUUUUUUUCUUCUCCCAAAGGGAUCCAUGUUUUAUCUGGGGUUAAAAAUGCAUUGGUGUGAAAACACAGGGCUUGUGUGGAAUUAUUGUAAAUCACUUUAGAAGUUUAGGUGAAUGACUUAGGGACUCAGUACCUCUUUCUGGACUGCCUGCCCUAACAGAUUUCUUAUUCCUCUGACUUUCUGAAAUACUUCCAGUUCAGCCAUAAAUAUGAUCUCUAGCCUGUUUACACAAUAUGAUGAUUCAUGCUAAAGUGAUUGAUAGAAAAUACAUUAUAGUGAAUGGUUUAUCCUUUUCUAAUAUCCCUCUGUAAAGAAGAUUCUUACUCCUGAAGAAAAUUUACAAGACCCUUAGCAAGUUCACUAAAAAUGUUUGUCUUUCUCCUUGUAAUGCUAUCUAUGGAGGGUGUAGUCCUGACUGAGUGGUUUAGGCCACUGUAAAACAACAGCGAUGGAGUUGCAUCCAUGAUUUAGGUGUAUUCAUAUAAUAAUGUAAAAGUCAGGUGCAGGUUCCCUGUCUUUGGUGCAGUCAAGCUCUAAGGAGCUUUGUUUAAGACUUUCCCAUGCCUGCAAUCCCUUGUGUUAGUGAAAAUUUUGCUGAAGUUGGUGGCAGCUUUGCCAGUAUCACAGCAUUAAGGGCAGCUUAUGCAUAAGAGCCUGCAUUUAAUCUUGAUUUGGGACAUUAAAAGAUCAGGCCUUCAAACAUCCCUCCACAUGCUUGUCUGUAAUUAGGUGAGUUACUGUGGCUGCACAGUUGCUGUUGUACUUGCAGUGACCCUGCUUGUGCACUUUGGUGUUUGCAUGGGAGGAAGGCAAGGAGGAGGGUUCCAGUCCAUCAGUUUAUCUGAUGGGGGCACAGCAGAUAAAGGCUGCUUUUAAACUUCUCAGCAUGAGGGUUGUGCCUAGAGCUAUGGAGGAACUUCCCAUAAAAGCAGAUUAUCAAUUGAAAGAGGAAUUUCCAGAAGAACAAGUUUUCCACUGCAAAAUUUCUGUAUUGCUGAUUUUUAUUUUUUGCUUUUGUUUUCUCAUGGAAAUCUCUGAAUGAACUACUUCCCUUUAAGUCACCUUAAUCCAUGCAGAAGAUACUAGAUGAAUUGAAGUGUGCUAGCGUGGUUUCAGCUGUUAUUAAGUUGCAUCUGUCUAUUAUUCCUUCUCAUCUCAUGGCAAAUGGCAAUAUAGAAACUUAAUGCCUUAAAAGUUCCUACUGGCAGGUGACCUUGACAGGCCUACAUGUCCCCACUGUACACUGGAGUCACCCUGGUGAAAACAUCUACUCACUACUAGAAAGCAAUGUUAGCUUGAUGAAACAGGCCAAAAAAAUUGAGUCUGCAGUCCCUGGGUAAUGCACUGCCUGCCUGGGAGCUUGUAUCUUUGCUGCUCAGCAUCAGUCUCCCAAAUUUUUCUAUAUUUUUAACCAGUUAUUUAAAAUGUCCACAGUGGUUGUAAAACUCCUGGAUCCAUUUGAGAUUAAUGGGGAAUGGAAAGUAAGUACAUUCAAGUAACUGUAAAAUUGGCUAAGGUCAUGCGAUCAAAGUGCUUGAAGGACACCUACACAGUUCUUGCUUUAUUGCUCUAUCUGUCCCUACAGAAGGCAGCUGGAUAAUAGCUAGGACGUUACUGGAGAUGACUGGACACCUGGUGCUGAGCAUGUGGGAAGGGAGGGGAAUGCUGCUGACACCAAGGUGUUCAUUGAAUCACACAGUGACCUCUUAUGGAUGAAAGUUAAAAUAAUGAACGCAUAUAUUGCAAAUGUUACUUUUACUUUUUAAAGCAGCCCUUUGAAUAGUUCAUCAAGGUUUGUAAUAGAUGGUGUAUUCUCCUUAAUGUAUGGUGUCUCCAGACUUAUUAAACUUUUUCUUGCUGUCCCUCAUGGGUUCUUCAUCCUACUUUUUAUAUAGACAUGCUGCCAAUCCUACUGAAAACACCAAACCUUUUGACUGUAUUGCACAGUGACAAUCUUGCACAUGUACUGAUCAUGGCAGGUGGCAUGCACAGAACACUAGUUCCUGCUGUCCUCAAAGAUAGCGUGUCCCACAGAAGGAAAGCAUGCUGUGUGACAGCUACUUCAUGGGAGGCAGCUCUCUGUCUACACGAGACUGGAGGCUGGCAGAGGUUUCUCCACCUCAUGUACACAGGAAACAGCAUGGAAGAUGUCUGACUUUCCUUCAGGUGGUCUCCCCUGUGCUUCUCGGAAAUACAUGGGAGCUGUGGUUAAACAUUACAGUCUAACCUUUUGCUUGCACAGGCACCAAAGAGGAGCUAAGUAACUUUAAACCAUUAGCUCAGUUUUAAGUAUCUCUUCCGUGGGAUGAAGGGCAGUUGACUCUUAAUCAUGUUAUAUCUUCCAAAUGAAUGACUCAGAACAAAAGUCCCAUGCUACCUCUUCCCCCAGCAAAGCACGGUGCCAGUGCAGCUAAUGAAAUGAGAAGUGCAAGAGACCUCCUCAGCCCUUAUUCUGCUCCUUUCAUAGGAUUCUUUUUGUUUCUCAUACCCUCUCACUCUGUGGUUUUGCCAUCGUAGUUUUAUCUAGGUGGCCUGAAUCGGAUUUCUGAGUGUCAGCCACCAGCAGCCCUGUUCUUACCUGAGGUUGCUGGAUGGCAUCUGCAGCCCUGAGCCCUUCUGCUUCCCCCUGCUCAACUGCCCCAGGCAGCUGGAGGCAAAGGAAACAGGCCUGAAUUGAAAGAAGUUGCUCCAUGCAGUUUGGCCACUUAUUUAAAUAGGUAAAAAAAUGCCUUUCGUGGAUAACUGUAUAAUUCUUUAGCAUUCAAGAGAAAGUCAAAUACAGUUGCCAUACUAACAGCUAAGUCUUAACUGUAGCUGAAAAGCUGAACAUGGUUUUAAAGAUAGAAUGCGACGACACCAUUUCUACCUACCCCCUCACUGGGGGAAAAAAAGCCAAAACCUGUCUUACUUUUCACCCACUGUAUUAGGUAAAAUGUUCUGCACUGGGAACUGAAACUGGAGUUUUCACUCACCUGUUAGAGUUUAAAGACCAUGUGAAAGAAUGAUCAUAGAAGUUAUUCGGACCAUUCAAUUAUUUAAAUAAUAAUUUUAAAAAAGCAUUUAGCAAAACCCACAUUGGCAUCAAUCAGUUGUAUUUCAUGGUUGCAUUGCGAAAGCUACAAAUGUCCUCAGUUCUAAAUUUAAGAUAGACAGAAAUUGUUCUGUUUAGCAUGUGCUAAAAUUAUCCAGCAUACAAAUACUUAGGGGAAGUGUAAAAAUUAAAUCCCAAUUUUUAAAAGGGCAGCUUAAAGAGGAAGGAAUGCAGAUGUAGCAGUAUUGAAUAAGUGCCAUCUCAGGAGAAAAUUUACCAAACACAGGGAAGAGUCAUACACUUCAUGUCCUUGUUAUAAGAUUCUCGGAGAAAACACUCCCACUCAGAUAGAAAUUCAUUGUAAACAGCUCCCUUGCUGUUGUGGUUGGUGUACUUUUGAGGAUGCAGUAGCUCUUAGAAGGAGCGGGGUGCGUUGUGUAAUACUGUGACCUUAUGUUGCAUAGACACUUCCAGUUUUGGAAUGUGAAAUGUCUGAAACUGGGAGUGGGCGGACAAGAGGUGGAGCCAGCCAGGAGCCUGGGUGGCUGUGUUUCUGAGAAACUCUUCUGCUGGUGAGCGCUGCUGAUCUGCCAAGUGUAUGGCCAAAGCCCCAAAUAUUGCUGUAUUGAACCACUGAACAAAAUUGAGUUGCAAACUGACACGAAGCUAUGGGGUGAUAUUUUGGAAGCUGAGCUUUUAAAACUUUGUUGAAAACAAAGCUGAAUUCUUUUAGACCUGAAACCACAGCCUCUCAAAAUGCGUCAGACACUCUUGAUGCAGCAGCGAGGUCAGCUUCUCUCCCCCCACACCUGUGAGUCAGGACAACUCUAUUAAAGGAAGCUUUUAUUGGAAGCUGUCGAUAGAGAGGUAGACAACAUGCAGAUGUUGAGAUUUCAGUGGAAAAGCGUUUGGAUCCUGUACCUACAUACAUGGUCACCAACAGGAAGAAGAAUACUAUUCUGAAAAGCAGAGAGACACUGAGGAAAGGCUAGUGUUUAAGCAGAGGUAGGUUCAUCAGAUUUCACCUUCUCUCUAAUUAAAGCUAGGAUUCAGAGUCCACGCAUGCUGGUGUUGUAUCCAUUUCUCAUGGGGAACAAAGGCUAAAUCUCCUGUGGGUUAGAUGUCCUCAGUGCUUACCCACCGUGCCUUCUGUACCUACAUGUUGUGCUGAGAGUUACAGGAAAAUAAUCUUAGAGCAGCUCAGCUGACUGUAGAGAGAAAAAAAGAACAGGAAGGAUUGGACAAAGUAUUGGUGGGAAUUUCAGAAGCAUGAGCUUGAUUUUCAGGUAGUGUAGUGCAGACACUUUUUGAAGUCGAAACUUCCUAUUGUUCAAUCACGCACUUACUAUUUCCUUUGCUGUAGACCCAGACCUGCUCAUGGGUGAGUCAACCAUAAUGGGGCUUAAAAAUGUUAGCGAACAAUGUUGUCCCAUUUAUAUUAAUUAUCGUAUAAGUUUUUUUCUUGUUGUUUGUUAUUGCUACUAUUAGAUGGACUGCUCUAGCAGAGUGUUAGCAUAGGUAAAGAACCUCUAAAAUGUGUUGUAACAACUGGGACCUCUGGUUCUAGAUGUGAUCUCCUUUUAAUGCUGGUGGGUGCUCCCUGAUUACAGAACUUACUUCCACCAAAGAAAAAAUAUCUAGCAACACUGAAAAAUAACACAUCUAGAACUAAUUUAUAGUGCCAGUAAUUUUAUUGCUUCCAUGUGAGAUUGCUAGCAGAAGGAAAGAGAUCCAGCUGCAGUUAUUUAAUUCAUGACCUGUCAGAAAAAUAGGUUUUGGUUUCCAGUCCUGAUGAGCACCUUGGGUGAAAGGCAAAGCAUGGUCCUGGCUGUGCAAAGAGCUGACCUCCCCGAACCCUCAGCACAGUUGGUAGAGAUGAAUUUGAGCAGUUUUCCUGAGAGUAUCCCAUGUGGAGUUUUUCACUAUCUUGAGGGCUUAUAUUUUCCUACAAGCUGAUUCAAACUCUGCUUUUUUUUUUUUUUUUUAAGUUACUCUUCUUUGCACCUUUAUAUUUUCCUUUAGGUUUUUGAAUCUGUGUGUGUUGCAUUUUAUGAGCAGCCCCAGAAAUGCCUUUUAGCUAGAAAUGUAAAUAACCUCAUAUCUGAAAAACUAUAAACCAACUAGGUGGUGUCCCUGCCUGCCAAAUGUUCCUUAGCAAACACUCAGGCAAAGAGUCCUCUCUAUGCAGGUACAGCUAUAUUCAUGUGUGGGGUAUGAGUUUGAGUGAAUAAGCUGCUUUUGCAGGCUUACUGAGGCAGGUAUCUGCUUGAAAUGACAUUUAUGUUUUUUCCAUUCAGAAUUCAUUUAGUCUAAAGAUGGUUGGGAAGCAAAAGAAACAGAAAUACAUGUUCCUUAAGUGUAAAACAAUAGUUUAUCUAUAUAUAAGAUGAGCAGAGAAGGGAGUGGAAAAACAGACCCAAACACAGCAGCAUGGAGGCACAGCAGGAGAGGCACAGAGCUGCACCUGGGGACCCUGCAACUGGCAAAGGAAGCUCCACUAGCUGCCACAGACCUUUUAGUGUGAUUCAGCAAACUAUUUCCCCAUGGGAUGAGACAUAAUGGUGAUUCCCAUGUGGUCUGCCUGGGAGCCUCCUGUCUAAACCUAGUCUGAGCAGCCAGCAGGAGCUGUGGCUGCUUUUGGCCUUUCUGUGGCCUUCCUCUUCUGGCCUUUUUCAGGCCUUCCCCUGCCCUGUGCACCCGCAAUCAGGCUGCAGGAUAGCAACGUAACUGCUGUCAUCUUCGGGAUGUUGUGUCAGACAAAGCCACUUGGUUCAUACAAGUCCUGUCCUUACUACUUCUUUUGCUAAGCAGGUUUACAUAGCAUAUUAAAAUCCAAAUCCUUUCUUAAAAUUAGGUAUGGCAUCCUUGAACAAAUCAAGGAGAAAAAUAAAUUGUUAUCCUGAAGAAAGCUAUGAAGAAAAGUAACACACUGACAGCAUCUUUGCUUUUAAGUUUUGCUGAUCAGAAAUCAGUGGCUGAAUACUGGGUCAACCAUCUGUAGCAGUCCUGCCAUCAAAUACUCCACCUUAUGAGGAUACAAACAGCAGCUCCUGUAGCUUGGUGUAAUGAACCAGCAGCUCUUCACUGGUGCAAGCAGAGCAUUUAGACUCUGCUGUAACAGUAGUGUUUAUUAUGCAAUUGCAUCCCAGCGUUUGGGGUUGUUUUACUCAAGCACAUCUCGCUAAUCCACAAUUAAAAUGGCAUCUUCAUCUCACACUUUGAGGUUGAGAAAAGGCUUUGGAAGAUUUCAGUAGCUCUUCUGAUGAGCUUGGUGGAAGAACAAAAUCAAAGAAGGACCUUUUGUUGGAGCAGUUGGGCCAUCACAGAGACAGCUGGCUUCUUCAUUACAGCAAACAUGUAGGUGGUUCUUCUCGUGUUUUAAGAUCUGAGAGAGGAGCUCUGACUUUCCUGACACCUUUUGUUGCAGAUCGUGGAGGGCCACGUCAGCUGUGCUGCAUGCAGCACCUGCCAACAGUUGACCCUUUUCCUCUCAACCACUUUGAACUAACAGGUUACAUUUUCCUGGCAGGAUCAGACCUGAGUGGUGAAGUUGCCCUGAGUUCAGGCAAUUUCAAAUGUGCAGUUUUUCACACUUGUUUGAUUGUGGUGUCCAUGGCUCAUUUUUACCCAUACUUUCUGCUUGGUGUACUAGUUUCCAGCACCCUUUCUUGGUGGUUCUUAUGCAGCUCUAGGGGAAGCAAAGGAAGGAGUACUGAGUGCAAUUUGGAGGAUGAUCGGGGUGAGAUCAGCUCUUGAAACACAAGUCAAGUUAAUGACGAAACCUGAGUUUUAUUAAUGAUACAGUGUAAUUAUUACUGCAGGCAGGGCAGAUACCUCCUAUUUCUCAUCUUUUCACUUGUGGAUCCCAUCUCAAGCGACCUAACUCCUUGGCCUUCCUACCCUAGGCUCGGGUCUGACCAAGGGCCCAAACCUGCAGCCCCGACAGAGCAGUGCCCGCAGAUCUCAAUGGGGCACGUGGGCUGGGGGGAGGUGUGUCAUCAGCAGAUCUAGUUGAUCUAGCAGAUCUAGACAGAAAGUUGAUGAUAGGGGGCAUCUAAUCAGAAGGGGAGAGACCUGCCCUUUCACCAGUCAGUGGAGAUGUAUGUCAGUGCUCAGCAUCAGCCAGGCUGGUGUCAGUGUGCUCCCCUGUCCUAAGGUCUUCACAAGGAAUAAAACGCGUAACAAGCCAAGCUGCUUACCUUCUGUAAUUGCCCAUAAAAUGUUAAUCCUAACUUUUGGUAGGCUGCCUCUAUCACUUUCAGCUGGGAGAUGCUGGGCCUGAUCAGGGAGGUGGCACAGAGCUGGGUGUGCACUCUGGGUGGGUAAGUGGGAGGAAGCGGAGCUGGUGAAAGUGACGCUGCACAGGGGCAGCUGGAGGCGGCUGCGGCAGGAAGAACACCUGCGGCGGCAUGCAGGGAGAUGUAAGAUAGCGUGGCCCCUCCUCACCUAGCGGCCUCUCUUGCCACCUCCCCAUAGUUCCUGUCACCUCCUCCUCUGCUCUUCUUUGCUGGAGCAUGUUGCAACAACCACCUCCAUUUGCUGUCAUGGCCUACACCCGCCCUCAGUGCAAGAUCAACUGUGCUCUCAUUGCUCGAUGGAGACCUGAGCCCUGCAGCCUGCAGUGCAGGGAGCUGCCAUGCCAUCUGCUUGCAUAGGCCAAAGUGAGGGAGUUAUUUACACUCAGGAAAACAACUUUCCAACACCCACAGUUCAAACAUUGGUUGAUGGAGAAAGUCCAUGGCAGGAACUUAUCAAAAAGAAAAAUAUCACCGUAUCUUGUUUUACUUCUCCUCUCUACCUUGCCUGUGUCAUGACUGUUGCAUGUUACACUGAAAACAGAACAUUUUCCUACCUUUGAACAUCCAGUGAGUGGUCUCUGUAAUAAUCCAGCAGAGCCUCAGCCUGAUUCAGGCAGCAGAGUAGGGAAGAAGGCGGUCUGGUGGCCCAGGAGGCCUGGGAGAGAGGUGGCCUUUGACAAGACAUGGCCCCACCAUCCCACCAGAUCUGCAUGAGCCUUCACUGCCAUCUGAAGCUGCAACUCCAUGCCCUGCUCCUCCUUGAUCUAGGGCUGAAUUCCCUGCGUGCCAGGACUGAUCCAACUGAGAACAACAUGGUCCUUAUUUCCCCCAGGUCAUUUCUGAGUUAGAUUGUUUCUUGGUUUCAGAUUGAAUUAGGCAGUUCAUCUUCUCUUUUGUACAUUUUUCUCCUCUUUGUCUUUAAAUUGGUAAAGUACUAAAAAGGUGAUGCAUUAUUCUUAUUUAAACUUUUUUUUUCCCUCCAAAUCUAGGUGGGGGCAAUAGGAUUAGGUUCCAAUCACUCUGCUUUCAGCAUUAUAAUUUAGGAGUUCCAUCAUGGUCUUGAGUAUGUGGUCUUGUCUCUUAUUAACUUAAUAUAAAUGUGAUGUCAGAAUAUGGUCUUCAGUAUUUAAGCCCACUAAUAAUUAUUUUUACAUUCAUAUUUCCUAUAAUAAAAAAAAAUUACUCUUAAUUUCAGAUGAAAAUUAAAUUGUCUAAAGAAUAAUGGCAGCAACUGAUUUAUCUUGCAUCUCAGUGUUUAUCUAUUCUAGUAAAAAAUCAGUGACUAUUAAAUUUACUACUGAGGCAUAGGAUUAAAAAGCAAAACUGUGAUGCUGAACAAAGCAUAGUUAUAUCAAUGAGUAUUAAUCACAGCAUGUCAAGAAAAGAUCAUGCUCUCAAUUUCCCACUGGACUUAAUGUUAAAAAUAUAAUCUUAUUAACUUCAAUUACCAUUUUUUUUAUAUUUUAAAAUAAGAACAAAAUAAAAAUUGUAAUGCCAGAAUAAUCAUUUUCAUUGACUCUUGCAUGUGAAGUUGGCAGUGUGUUACAGUUUUUCCUGUUGUAAAUGAGAAGGGUCGGGUAUAAACCUGAACAUUUUUGUUUAAUCCUGGCCCUGUAGCAAUUGAUGUGAGGUCUUUGGAGCCACACAGGAAGAGUGCAUAAUAACGAAACAAAACCCUCAUGUAAGCUCAAGCCAAAGGAGUCACAACAUUAAAUAGAAAAACCAUAAUUGUAGAAAAGACCAUUUCCUUACACAGCUCAUAUGGAGCACUAGAAAGUUGGCACAUAUAUUGCUUCCAGUAGUAAUGUUGCUGUAAUAUGCUUUAAACAGUUGCAGAAACUCUUAGGAGAGCCUUUGGGGCCUGGCUUGUCUUUCCUUUGAGCUAAGCUCACGUUGUGCUGAAGCACGAAGUCACCCUAGAAUGGAGAUUGUUGAGUAUCGUUCUGCCUUGCUGUGGAAUGUCCUGUAGCCAUUAAAACUAUGUAGGAUACAGGGGUCCUUGUACAGUCAGGUAUGGCAUUGUGAGCAAGGGCUGUGAGUGCCCAAGAUGGGCUAGGGCUGCUUCUGGGUGCAUAGAAUGCCUUUGAGCUCCCAUCUCCACUCCUCUGCACAUGCCAGCUGUCGCCCUGAUGGCAAACAGGUGCCAUACGAACACUGCAGAGGUGCAGUCAUAAGUGCAGUGCAUGUCUUAGGGAAUGAGAAAUUCAGCUGUAUGUUUGGAAGUGCUUCUUGAUAUUUUUUGUAAGAUAAUAAACUGUAUCGCUUGGCCAGAUGGUCAUUUAUACGCAUGUCACUUUAUUAAGCACUGUAGGAGUGCCUUAGAUGGCAGUAAGUUAUAUUUACACCCUUUCUAAUAGCUCCUUUGUGCUGAUAAAGGGAUGUAAACUGGCCUCAGAGUAGGCGAAACUUGCAGAAUAGAGCUGUAAAACUGCCAACUGCUUGUCAUUAGCAUGAAGGCCUACAUCUCUGCCUCUGGUGGGACACAGCCAUCUCUCAAGGGCAGUGCAAUUAGGCAGUGGGUCUGACAUGGCGUAUUUCCACUUUCCUUCAGCUCCCAGAGCCUCAUUUCUGGUCCUUGGAGAAGUUUUCUGUGUGCCGGGGUGAAGGAGCUGUGCCGUAAACCUGAUCAUUGGAAUGUCUCAGAUUAGAAGCAAAAAUAAAAAAUAACCUCCCACCUUUAACUGUAAAAUACAGCUUUUAUCCCUAGGUCCUUGUGUGUUCCAUCUUGCAGUGGGGGCUCACAAACAUGCUGGUGUGGCCACAGGUGGCUCAGCCAUUGUGGAAGGGACAGUGGAACGUGGGGCAAGGUGGAGCUGCCUAACGUAGCACUGCUGCUAGGCCUCAGCCUGGGUGAAUCCCUGCCUUCCCCAUCAGUGCUGUUUUGAAGACCUGCAAGUACUUGAAAAUAUGUUUGCUCCUUCUGUUUCCUACUCCUGUUUGCAGAGCAUGGAUGCCUUAAGAACAAACUCUUGCCCCUUUGUUAUGGGAUGUUGGGAUGCGGUAGAAGUUCUACCCAAUCUUUUCACAUUUAAUCUUUUGUUAAUCUCGGUGAAAAAGGGGACAGUUUCCAAAUCUGAAUUUCCCCCCCUCAUCUUCUCAAGUUUCUCAAGUUAUGUUUAGAAACAGGAAGCUGUUUUGCAUAAAGGUAAGAUUGUGUUUUUAACAAAGUUGGUGUUAGACUGGCUAAAUAUACCCGCACAGUCAUACUCAGUGGGUAGUCCUGGCUAUUUUUAGGCUUUAUUUUUGCCUCUCUUUAUUUAUUUUUUUUUAGUGACACCUCCACUUCAGUUUCUACUGAGGCACUGCUUCCUGAGCCUGUAUGAAACUUGCAAUUACAGAAGGAGUCAAUCUUGUCAGGUGUCAUUUAUCAUGCAUUGCAGAGGGCUGAUUUCAGUGAAGGAAGAACAAAGCUUAAUAAAAAGAGAGAGAGAAGCAUUCUCUUAAUAAUUUGCCCUUUGCAACAGCAGACCCUUAUCUGAUCACCCACGCUCAUCUUGUUGCUGACGCUGUACUUGCUUCAUUAGUACCAGCUAUUUUUACACCUUUUGUGUCUUUUGAGGAACUGUGUGGGCCUGCUGGCUUGUAGUGAUUCACUAUCUCCAGGGUGAACAGGGUGUCCUCAAGUCCUGCAAGUGGGGUAGGAAGAAAGAAAUGGGGGGGAAAGGGUUCAAUUGGAUAAGCAAGUUGGUUAAUUGCCUGAGGUGAUAUGAGUGCCAAAAUAUUGCAGUUUAGUUCAGUGAAAAUAACUUAUGUGCUUUUGGUUUGCAGCAGAAGGUUUCAGAUUAAGAGCUAUGUAAAGGAGCAUUUACUGAUUAAUCCACCUUAGUGUAACUUAGCAAACAUAAAGCCCUAUGUGCUCUGUCUUCAUGUUGAUGAUAUUUCCUUUUGUUCAUAGUGUACAAGUGCCAUUUGAUACAUCAGAAGAACCCAAGAGACUUCAGGGUCAAAUCUUUAGCUCAUUUCACUUCCAUUUCUGACACUGGAAAAGAGGUAGAUUUGGUGGAAUGGAUCAAUCAUGAUGCAGGGGGAGAACCCUUUAUGGGGUUGUUUCUGAAGGUUUCUGAAGCUGAGCAGCAGUUGCUUUCCAUUUCUAUACACCAGUAGCAGUGAAUGUGGCCUCCUAAAAUCCCUUCUGAGCUCUCUUUCACCUGAUGGCAGAUUUUAAGGUUUUUGCUGUCCUUAUACUUCUCCUGGGUAGGAGAGAUUUGGUGUCCAGUUGUGUCACUUUUGAGUACAGCAUAACGACUUUAUCUUGCAGGCUUCCUUGGAGUUGUUUCAAAAGUUAGUGUGAUGAGGGAUACAUAUAUGAAACUUGGAAGAGCGGAUUAGACUACAAAUGCCCCAUAGUACUGCUCUCUUGUCUAACCUUGAGUGGUACCAAGUCGUGAACCUGAACAUUGUCUUUCCCAGAAAAGCUGUGAUUUUUAUUGUGUUGAGACCUUAACUGAGCUGUCAGCUUGGACUGUGCCUCUAAUAUCAACCUGUGCAAUAACAGAGGCUUUACAAGUACAUUCAGGCAGUUUUGGUUGAAAAUUUUCUCAGCAGUGUUUACUCAGGAGAGUGGCCAUCAUAUUAAUAGACAGAGUUGAUGUAUGUUUUGUAGAAAGAAACCUAACUAACUGCACAGAAUGAAAUAUCAUAUGUUCCUACAAAACACAGUAUAAAGUGUAUGUAUAUUUUAUUGAAUUUUUAAGAGGUGUUCUGAUGCAAUUGGAUAUUGCGCAUGCUGACUUCCAACGCUUCAUACAAUAAAAAGAAGGAAGUACUGUAAAAAAUGGCCAGAGUAACUUAAAAGAGCAUUUUUUUUUUUUCUCCUGUUAAGCACCCUGAGGGUUUUAAGCAAAGCAGCAUCCUUAAAUGUGCAGCCUAGUUAAUAUAAGUUGUAUGAUCGUUGCAGUGAUCAUAGUCUUUAGACAGUGUUAAGUGCCUAGAUUCACUACUGUAAAAUGCCUGUACUGAGUCACUAGUCAAAACUGAACAUUAAGGCUGUGGGGUAGUAACUGCUGUGACACCUGUGGGAUGUAUAGAGCUUGGGGCUUAGUAUCUGAUCUUAGCUGAAUUUUAAAUGGCUUCACAAUUGAUUGAAAUAAAACUGCCACGAAGGGCCCCAUUCUACUUUGGGUUCAUAUAAUCGAAAAAAAAAAAAAUCAGUAGGAGCACACUACCAAUGCUUUGUAUGCAUCUGUUUUUGUUUUGACAUGUGGUUGACCACAGGGCUCAGUAAAUAAUAGCAGGUUUUAAAAUAAGUUUGUAUAAUAAGCUUAGUGUGAGUAAAAAACAAACACCAGAUCAGGUACUAUAAAUGUCUUCGUAUGUAAUUCUUCUAGGGCUGAAUGCGUCCCUCAGAGUCAGUGCCUUUGCCCAAUCAAAGAAAGUGUUUGAAAGACCCUGAUAUUUUCAUGUUAAGCGCAAGUGCCUUCUCCUGACACAGUAUGAAAGAAGGCUUAGCUGUCUGCAAAUUCUACAGCAGUUGCAUAAUUAGUAUUGCAUAACUUCUAACUGAAAAAAAAAAACUCACUUCCCAGAAAAUUCAGUGAUAUUUUCCCUCUAUGAUGGAAAUGCUAGGCCUGGUAUUUUUUAUUUAUAUUUCUAUUUGGCAGCAGAAUAACAAUUGCUUUGUCCAUAAAAGUGAUGCAAUAUUUACACAAAUUGGGAUUUAUUUAUUUUUUUUCUUGGGGGAACUUGGGGAAAACCUUUGAGACACAUCAGCAGGCUCUUACCAGCACUGGGCUGCUCUCCUCAGCUGCUGCCCAAGUCUGCAAUUCUUUUGUGAAAGUGAAGACACGUCAAAAUUUGCAUUUAAUUUCAGUUAGGAAAAUUUUUGUAUCUGACAACUUUAUCUGAACUCUCCAGUGUCACUGUUCUUACCCUUUUGACUGUAUAUGGUGUUUUUAAAUCUAGAAAUCUAGAAAUGACUACACAGCGUAUGCGUAUUGGAAUCUUGCCUUUUGUAUACACUUUACCUUCACAAGUGCUGUUAAAUUCAUAGUUUGGUGAAUCCAUCCUGUAUUAAUUCCCAUUUCUGAUUAACACAUUUUCUCACGCUGAAUUAAGAAUAAGGUCUUCAAUCUCAUUAAUAUUCACCAGCUUUUGCAAGUGCACAUGCUUCACUACAAUCUGGAUAGCCCCACAUAGCGUCACUGGUUUGUGUCUGAGUCUGCUUCUCAUAACAUUAAGUUGUUCAGCUUUGUGGGGCUUUGUAAUGCCCACUUGUUUAUGUAACAGUUUGAGGGCAACAGCAGGGCAAAAGCUGCAUUUCUGUUCUGCACUGCAGGCAUGAAGAAGAAGUUGUAACCCUACAAACAGUUAGCAGAAACUAUUUCACACUUUUUCAGUUUGGCAUGGUACUGUCAUUGUUCAAUUGCUGUGGGUUGGAAGAAAGUGAGAUAGAGCUGAUUGUCUUCUGAUUAAGAGAGCAGCCCAAGAAUUACGAGCUCUUUUGUAUCUCAGCAACCCUUCAGAUAGUUUUACAUCAUUUUUGUGUAGUUAGUAAAUAUUGUUUAUUUACUACUUAUCUCAUCCUUGAGUGAAAUUCAUUCUUGUGCAGAUGCAGACCAAUGAGAUUAUGCAUUGUAUCAAACUAACUUCAGUCAUCAAAAUAUUGUUCAAAGAGGACUUUGGUGGUGUGCGUCUCUUUCUGACUGUUCUCUGCAUGGGAGCUGUUGUGGUGUGCCACUGUAUGUUCUGAUUCAAAAACAAAUGGGGGAAAAAAAGUAAAAUGACAGUGCUAUUUUUUGUUGCCUUCUGAAUUUUUAAUAAUGCUUGAAGUGUGGGCUGUCAGAUCUGCCAUUUCUCUGCCAUCGCAUUUGAAGUUCCGCAUGGGAAACUAUAGGUAUUUUACCCAUCCGUUUUCAUCUCUUAACUUUAUCUCCAAGGAAUUAAGUAGCAGUGUGAGCAGACUAGCAGUUUACAUACUUCUUUUGUUUAGUUUCACAUCUGAAUAAUCACAAUUAUUUGCUUCUGUGUUGAGAUCGGUUCAAUCUGUCUGUGCUGGAACACAGCCAAACAAGGUAGGUUUUGUAUGACAUGUUGAAGCACCUCUGACAAAAUGCUAUGUGCUCUGCAAGGUUAGGCAACCUGAAGCAGAAUUAUUUGCCUAUUCUAUUAAAAGCAGUGGCCUCAGAGAGAUCAAUUAGCUCCUUACUGACUGACAAGAUGGUUUGUCCUGCAGGCUGUUUUGACAACUCUUUGAUAGCAGUUAUUUGUUCAAUUCAAGGAGAUGAUCUGCGAUUAGUUUGGGAACUUGUACCUAUAAAGGAAGUGUUUAAGAUGAAUUUGGCUCCUGUGUAGCUUUUUUUUUUCUCUCUCUCUCAAUCCCUCCCCCUUCACCCCCCCCCCCCCCCCCCCUUUUAUUUUUUUUUUUAUAGUCAUCCUGUGGAAAUAAGUCUGUGUUCAGUUGGACUUUGGCAACGUGAAAGCUUUUUUUAUACAUUUUUUCCAUCCGGUAGUAAUGUGUACAUUAUGUAUGAUGCUGAAACAGGAAAUAGCGAUGUUCUUAAGUGAGCAAUCUGUGUCAUUACAGUGAAAAGGUCAACGUUAAGGCAUUUCUGCUGUAGGGUUCUUCUAUGGCUUCUUAAAAUAUACACUCAACUUGAAUUUAAGUUUUUUGGGAGUGCUAUUUUUCAAUAGAGAGUGGCAAUUUGAAAUUACAUUUGAGAUACUUAACACAGCAAUAAGUGAGUUCAGCUGUGCUCUGAGCAUUUAGGACAAAAGCCAGCAUCUCUUACAGAAAAUGAUCCAAUGUUUUCUUAGUAAUAUGUAAUUGAAAAUGUAUUGCAAUAUGUAUUAUGAACUUCUUUGUGGACAUCUUAGCGGUGUUGGAUUAGUUUAUUUUCAGUCUGUGAUAAAUAACCUCAGAUAUUUAGUAUGUAGGAUGAUAAAGUCUAAACCAAAGCAAUGUCUGAUUUUGUUUGUUUUUAUGAGGAAUAAGUCUGGCAUUAUGUUCCUGGAUUUGAUGCUCAUUGCUUCAUAUUAAUACCAGGAUAAUGUAGAACAGAAUUUGGCUCUUUGACUUGCUGUUGAAAUAAUUUGUCUCCUAUUAGUCACUCCAAGUCAUUUCUGGUCAAAGCUCCUUGAAGUCAAAUGAGAGUUUUCCUUGAUGCCUGAAUUUUCUGUAAGGUAUCCACAGAAGGGAUAUAUAGCAAUGUGAAGAUGAACAAGAUAAAGCCUUCAUAUGAAUGAAAUAAUUAAUGCUACUACAAUUAACUAAAAAGUGCUACUGUAUACUAUUUCUUAACUUCCAGUAUUAUAGAAUAUUUCCUAAAAUGGGAGCAAGAUUUAGUGCAAACACAAGUCAAGAUAUGAGAUUUUAUAUAGCUUCUAUAUAAUAUAAUUUUAUAUAGCAAGUACCAAUGACACAGAUUGUGUGUUCAUAGAAACCUGCGAGUAUAAGCUUGAAAUUGGCUUGCAGUUCCAUAAAGCCAGAAUGUCCUGCACUUGAUGCUUCUGUAACUGCAUCUUCAGUGUCAGUCUCUUCAGCUCCUGAAUUCUCAGGGAAUCCAUGUGAGCACAAGUAUUUACCUAACAUAGAAAUGAGUAACAGGUUGUGCACUAUAGCUUCUUUUCAAGCAAUUUUAGUACAGUUUCUUUGAAUAUUUAAUAAAUUCACAGGGUACUUGCUGAGCAGUAUUCUUUUUAUUUUUACUAGUACUUUUAAAUGAUGUUUGACAAAUAUUGUAAAUAGUAGCUCAGCUGCCCAAAUUUAAAAAUGCGUGUUAUUCUAAAUGUUUCAGGGUGUUUUAAGAACUCUGAUUUUCUGUCUAAUUUUGGAAAAUGGCAAUGUAUUCAAUAAAAUGCUGAAAUCCAGAGGGCAGGCAGAAUAUCUGAGGUGGAAUUAAAUGAACAAGACAGAGUAGUGUCUUUUAAGUGUGAAGAGGUAGUAGUGAUUUCAAUAUAGAAAGUAGUAGAUGAAAAUAAAUACACCUAACCUGUUUUAAAAGGGCUGCCAUGGAAUUGCAUGUGUAAAUGGAAGUCUCAUAUUGCUGUUGAACUGCAGCUAAGGCACAGGCGUCUUUACAUUCCCCAGUAAAGCAAGAUUUUGCCAAGUGCCGGUGGUUGACAGAGGAAUUUACAGUCAUUCCUAGAGGUGUUUAAAUAGACAGGUAGAAGGCCAGCUACAAAACCACAGUCAGAAGGGACCUUUGGCUAAGGAUCUGAAAAUAUGGAGAGACUCUCUCUGGGUAGCCUUUUUACAAAGCUGGGUAAUAGAAGAAGUGUUUCUUUUUCCUUAUCUUUUUGGUAAGUGCAGGUCAAAGACUGAAGAAAAGGAGUUUACACCUUGAUGAGAUUGUCAAGUGUAGUGUCAAACAGUAUAAAAAAACUAGCAUUCGAUUAUCUUUACUUCAUUUGUGCAAAAUGUCAAAAUAUACCCAAAGGACUGCAGUCCUUUUGUUACCUUGCUUAGACUGCACAAGAAAAUUCAGCCCACAGAUGAAUUUGUAACCUUGUACAGAAGGAUAAGCGCAUGCUUGUCUGUUUUCUUGCUGGUUAAAUCCUUUGGUUCAGAGAUGCACACCUACUGCUGGAGGAAAGCUCUUUUGCAGAUGGAGCUCAUUAUAACUUCGCCUAGGUAGAAGAAACUACAAAUCUAUAUCCUGAUAGGGUUCCUGAUCCUUUACUUUUUAAUCCCUUUUCUUUUUUUUUUUUUUUUUUUUCUUUUUUCUUCACUGUAUUGUCCUUACCAGGCAGCUCUCUGUGGGUCUAUCAUUAGUGGAGCAGAAGGAAACAUGGGGUAGGAUGGCAAGCCAAAGAUCUGCUCUUCUUCUUCCCAAAAGGCCAAGUCAGUUUCAUUCUCACCUGCAGGUGUGGAGUAGCUCAGAGGUGGUCUGCUUUCUCUGUAAGUCUGUCUGACUGCUGGUCUCAUCCCAGACAUAAACUAAGCUUGGCUAAUAAGGGUCUUGGCAGAGGUCUGUAUGUGAGCAUAGGGAUUUUAUAGGAGCCACUGCAGCAGCUUGUCUCUACUAACUGGUGUCCUAUAGAAUAUGAAUUCCUCAGGGGCCAGUUACAGUGGUUUUAGGACAGCUUUGUGCUGGCAGAGAUAGACAGGAAAGAUUUAAAGCAAGGCUGGAUCUGACCCUUAGUCCUUACUCUAGAGUCAAUAUUUAUUCUGUAUGGUGCACUCAGGAUUUAGCCGGGAAGACAUAAGCUUCCAAUUUGUUCACUUGCAAGAGCUGUAACAUGAGCUACAAAUUGAGAAGUAGUAAAAGUUGUAUUUUGCCAAAUUUUAUUUUAAAGCUUUUUAGUGUAACCAUUUUAAUGAUCUGGGGGAAAAGAAAAGAAAAGAAAAGAAAAGAAAAGAAAAGAAAAGAAAAGAAAAGAAAAGAAAAGAAAAGAAAAGAAAAGAAAAGAAAGAAAGAAAGAAAGAAAGAAAGAAAGAAAGAAAGAAAGAAAGAAAGAAGGAAAGAAAGAAAGAAAGAAAAAGAAAGAAAGAAAGAAAGAAAGAAAGAGGAAGAAAGGAAGAAAGGAAGAAAGGAAGGAAAAGGAGGAAUCCUGGAGCUCUGUAGCCAACCAGAU